rnacentral:lncRNA from 1 species
GGUUGAGUACGUUGCCGCGGGACAGUUGUUGGGGGCCUUCGUCUUCCGAAGGUCCUCAAAAACAAGAUUUAACUAUGUUUUCGGAGUUGUAAUACAUGAACAGGUACCUUCGGACUCAGAUCAGAACCACAGUGGGAGAAGCACGAACAAUACGAAGAUUGAUGCAGUGUCAAAGCUACGCGCGAGGGAGCUUCGGCAUGACAGCAAGAAAGGGAACCGACUUAAAGGGGAAAGGCUAUUUAGACCUCGAUGAAUUACCUUAUAGUCAUUAGCAAAUGUAAAGGGCAUGGAUGUAAUUUUACAUGGGCUGUGUCCCAUGCCUAUAAAUAGAUGAACAGUACCCCCGUACUGUUCACGCUGACUUGCAUUUGCUCGUGCAUCACACUUGUACUUUUACCUUCUAUCAAGCCGAAGGUACAUUUGUAAUUUGAUAUCAUUUCUAUUUUUCCAUGAUAAUAAAAUAGAAAUGAGCUGAUAAUGUUACAUAAUUGUUCAUGUUAUAUCUUACAUUCCAUAUGAUUCUCCUUUUAUUGUUGUAUACUGCAAUGAUGAAGGUAUGUCCUUCAUGACCUUCGUCUGAAGAUCAUUAUAUCUUAAGGGAAAUAAUGUCUCGGAGGACGAAGGGCAUUAACAUUUAACAUUUUUUGUGUUGCCUUGUUCUUAACUCAUAGCAUUUGAGAACAAGUCUCCAACAUUGGCGCCCACCUCCGGUGAAUCCUUUUCGACCACCUUCGGCAAGCACUGACCUUCGUCAUGCCACCAAAGAAAGCUUCAGCAACAGGGGCUGCUGCUCUGCAGCCACUGGACCCAAACCAGGAGACCCUUUCUCUUCGAGAGGCCCGAAGCCAGAAGAGGAAGGCCACUAGUCCAACACUCCAGGAGGAGGAGUUGGACCAAGAAAUCAGAAACAUGGAGAUGCUUCAUCAACAAGUACAAAGGAAGAAGGAGAAGAUGGCCCGACUAGCCGACCUUCAAAGGCAGAUUGACGAAGCCACUGAAGAAGUACACCAUCUUGCCCAAGACGAACAAGAGCGAAGGCCCCAACAUAGGGAGCUUCACCAAGAAGGCUUCUUCAACGAGGAUGGAUGGUAUGAUGGUUUUAAUCAUGAUACCUUUACCUUUGACAAUGCUUCUCCCUUGGCAGCAGAACUGCAGGCUAUCCCAUGGCCUCCAUCAUACAAACCACCUCAGCUCCCUAUGUAUGAUGGACAUUCAGAUUCGAAGCAGUUUUUGAUGAGUUAUGAAGCAACUAUAUCUUCAUACGGAGGCAAUGCAGUUGUCAUGGCCAAGUCCUUCGUCAUGGCAGUUAAGAAUGUGGCCCAAAUGUGAUAUUCUUCUCUUCGGCCAGGAACUAUUACUUCAUGGUAGAAGCUCAAGGAUAUGCUGGUGACAAGUUUCCAGGGCUUUCAGACAAAGCCAGUCACAACUCAGGCUCUGUUUCAAUGCACGAUCAUGAGGAGUAUCUCCAAGCAUACGUCCGAAGGUUCUUCCGCCUGAGAGCACAAGCGCCUACAGUGCCCAAUGAAAUUGUCAUUGAGGCCAUGAUUAAGGGGCUUUGUCCAGGACCUACUGCCCAGUAUUUUGCUAGAAAGCCUCCACAGACUUUGGAGAAGCUGCUUCAAAAGAUGGAUGAAUACAUCCGGGCUCACAAUGACUUUCGACAAAGAAGGGAGGAAGCCUACAGGUUCUCUGAGAUGACCAGGGGCUUCGUAGAAAGAAUCCACCCAAGGCAUGUCAGGUCAAUUCACUCCACCCAGAGUGACGAUAGAUGAAGUCAACAACAGAGGCCACAGUAUUCCUCGCAAGCUUCGAGGCAGCAACAAAGCUCUUUCCGGCCACCAGCGCUAAGAGGCAGAGGCACCAGGGGCUUUAGAGGAAGGUUUGGGGAUCAGCCUAGAAAAAAUUAUUGCUUAUUAUGUGGUGAGGACAAGGGCCAUACUACAAGGAUGUGCCAUGUCACCAUUCAGAAACAAAAGGAAAUAGCAGAAGCCGCAGCUCAGUAGAACCAGCCGAAGCAGGUCAUGCAUACUGCUUCGGGUCUGUUUGGUUCAGCUUUUUUCUGACCAACUUUUCCGAGAAUCUAGUUGUGGGGAGAAUCUGGCUGUAUAGAGAAUCUGAGUAUCUUUAGGAUUACGUGCGGAGGAAGAUAAAGUUGUCCAUGGGGCUCAGGAUCUAUAAAGUGACGGAUUACUACUAUUGUGACGACUCAACCGAUUAUAUGUUUAUGUUGAUUUUGAAUGGUUUUUAACCAAACGAAUUUUAUAGAAGCUGGCUAAAAAGCUGAGUGUUUGGCAGUCCGCAGCAGCUUUUGGUGGCCAGAAGCUACGAAAAGCCGAAACACAUAGGGGCGUAUCACUCACCCUACAUACCAGAGUAUGUGGGUAACCAUCCUGCAGCUUCUGUUGCUUCGGCUAGUCAGCCACAGGAAUCUUGGCCAUAGCCCCCACCUCCGCCACCACUACAACCUGCAUAUUCACGAGGCCAGCAGCCAGAAGGGAGCCAACUGACCCAUCACCAGCGAGAUUUCAGGGAUGAGUCCGAAGCUCGCACAGUCAACAGUACUGUGCCAGAAUCAAAACAUAUCUAUUGAGAGAUAUCCUACCCCUGAAAUAGAUUUCAUAUUCAUUGUCAUUUUCUUUUUUAAUAAGGAACAAUUAUUGUAAACCUAGUUUUAUUGCCAUUUUCAAUUUCUUGUAAUAGCUUUGUUCUUGCCACAGUGAAAUAUAUCUUCUCCACAGACUCACGAAGUCCAAAAAAGUCGCUGAAGCGCAAAAGUCGUUCCUAAGAGAACGCGAAGCUAAAAAUCACAUUACAAGUAUCAUCGAAGCUACAAAAAGUCAUUCUAAGGAACGCAGCGUAAGUUUGCCGAAGCUACAAAAAGUCGUUCCUAAGGGAGCGCAGUGUAAGUUUUCUGCUCAAAAGUCGUUCCAAAGGGAAUGCAGAGCCAAAUACCGCCGAAAUAUAAGGCGAAGCGCGAAAAGUCAAUGCGAAUACCGCCGAAAUAGAAGGCGAAGAAGUUCAAAAGACGUUCCUAAGGGAAUGCAGAAUUUACAGCGAAAAGUCAGCGCUGAUACAUCGAAAAAUAAACGGUGAAGUCGAAAAAUAAGCGGCAAAGAGAUUGUGUAUUCCACUAUGGGGUUGUGAGUGUGCGUCUUCGGCAUAAACAUCAUUUUGCAUAACAUAACAUCAUCACAUCAUUUCGCAUAACAUGACAUCAUACACCAUAUCGCAUCAAUGGCACAAGAAGGGGAUGCAAUAUUGAUCUUCGGAGAAUGCUUCGGAAAAGUGAAAUUGUGCUAAGGCACAAAAUAAGUUUUGAAGAGGUAUAGCUUCAUCAGCAAUGAUGUGGAGGGAGAAAUCUAUUGUUCACGAAGCAUUAAUAUUUUUACGACGCUUAGAUGUUCUCUACGAAGUAUGAAUUUCUUCACGAAGCAUGAAAAGAAGGGAAGGUGUUUUUUCGCCGAAGGCUCAAAAAAUGGUAUGUAUGUAAAGUUUCAUGCAUCGUAAAGAACUGAAUUACAAACAAUUUACACGUUACAUUCAAAGAUACAAACCUCAAGUAUUACAGACUUAGUUCAGUAAAUAUUACAUUAAUAUCUUAAAAAAUGUUUUUACAACAGCUAUUCUUCUUCCUUCAAAACUUUAUCUGCAGCUUCGGUCAGCAAUUUUGUAACGACUUCAUCUACGAUAGCUUCAGCCAUAUUAAUAAUUUCUAUUGUUUUCUCUGUCUCUGGGUCGGCCAGUGGGUCGAAUGGCUCUGGGGGAGGAGAUAGUUCAGCUGCGGUAGAAGACAUGAGUUAGUUCGAAGACACAAAAAUAAAUAACAACAAAGUUAAAAGACAUCAAGUAAUACCUAUCCGUCUUUCAAGUUCCGCAGCCUUUUCAGCUGCUUUCGCUGCUUCUCGAGUGUCAUGAAUAUCUUUUUCGCUCUUUUUCAUUAUUUCAUGGGCCAUCCCUCGGCCGCCAUUUUCCCAGAUAUCAGUGAAAAAUUUUCCGCCUAUUGAGCUUGCUUCGGCCGAGGGGUCCUUCGUAUCGUCAAUAGAGAAGGCAGUUUCGGCCUGGGCCAAAGUUUUAACAUGUUCGCACCCCGCCUUCUCCAAAAUAGCUGCAACUCCCCUCGCACCAGAGAACGCGCAGACGUCCCCGCGAUCGCUCAAAAUUUCUUCAAAAACUUUGGCUUCGCUGCUGAUCCACUCAAUUACGCCCUCAGGAUCGCCUCUUAUGAAGUUGUCUUCGCUCGAGUAUGCGCCCACGUUGGCUAAGCUAGUCUUUAUCUUUUUUACGCACUCCACAGAUUUUUCAAAACAUCUCUCUUUUGAUGCGCGAAGUUCUGCAACUGUUUUUUCACAAUAAUUUUUCCAGUAAUCACUGGCAUCUCAUUCAGCUUCGGCAACAGCGCAUUUUAAUUUGGCUUCAGCCAGUUGCUUUUGAAGGUUUUCAAUCUCAUUCUUUUGGAUUUCAGAUUGAGCCUUGAAGUUAGCUUCAUCCCCCUUUACUUUGUCCACCAAUGUAAGUAGGAUUUUGUCUUUUUCCAAAGCUUCGUUUCUCAACCUGAUAACCUCUGUUCGAAGGUUGUUGAGAGCAAUAGUGCAGCUCUCGUCUUCGGCAUUCUUUUGCGCCCUUAAGGCGUUGCUAAGUAUUAAGCCCUAUACGAAAAGAAUGAAUGGGUUAAUAUAAGAACAAAAGACUAAUUCAAAAUUCAUAAACUUCUAAAAUACACAAUUUUUGUACCUUCAGACUGUUGUAUGCAAGGCUAUCCGCAAGAUCGUCCUUCGCCAUGGCGCAGAGGCCAGCUUCAAGCUUCGGGAACCCCAUACUUCUGGCCAUUUCCCGGCAGACAGAUAAUUAUUUGUUGUCUGGGAGGCAAUACAAGAAGUCAUCUUCAUCUGUGCCAUUAAACACUAAGGCCCCUUUCGGGUACUUCAUUUCUCGGGCAUAGUGUUUAGCUUCAAAAAUUUCUUCUUCAGAUAAUCUUUUUCCCAAAGCGUGUCGAAUAAUAUAAUCAAGGACUUCGGAAGGCGCUUCAGGAGUAGGAGCGGCAGCUUUUUCAGGCAAAAUCUGUUCUAUAGCUUCUUCUUUCGCUGCCUUUUCUCCAAUUUCCGAGGGUUUCUCGUCGGGCUCCGAAGGUCUAGCUUCGGCGCUAGCCUGGCUCGUUGUAGCUUCAACUUCGGUCAGUUUUGUUUUGGUUUCAAUUUGCACUUUCGAAGCCUUAGCAAUUUUCCCUGGAGUAGAGCUUGAAGCUUUUAUCGUCUCCAGCACAUCUAGUACACUGGCCAUCCUUUUUCUCUUGGGGGUCGCUGCUAGACCUUUUUGUGCCUUCGGCACCGCCACUACUGCCGAAGGGCUUAGAACUUCUAAUGUUUUCGUCCCUUUGAUUCUUGGUUUCUCAAUUUUGUCAGUCUUCAGCAUUGCAGCCGGCUCUUCAAUCCUCUGCGUAGGAGCAGGUCCUCUUGCUUCAAUAGCUGAAGAAGUAUCACCGCCAAAUUCAGGUACUAUGGCCGGUUCAAUGUAGCGCGGUCGGUGGGUAAGGACCUUCAACUUUUUCCUCUUCGGUGCAGGCUCGCUUGAAGCAGCCGAAGCAGCAGCCUUUCCAGAAGUUGCACCCUUUCUUUUCUGACCCCGCGGCAGGUAGCGAUAGUCAGGGUACACAAAUCCAAUAGCAUCAAAAACCCUAUUUAGUCUUUUCUUUUUUUGGCUCCCAAAGGCCGCAGAUAGUGCAUUAUCUUCAGACUUGGAGUAUGCUCCAAGUAGUUCAUCACUAGUAUUUUCAACACAUUUCAGCCAAUCAUCAUCUGGUUCGAUAAACUGGUCUCCAAACCUGAAGGUAUAUUUCAAUCGAACUAAACCACCUUCGCUAGGGUUAGUGAUGCUCUAUGUUGGCAUUUCCCAACUGUCUAUCAAUGGCCAUAUCCUGUAGGAUACAUGUUCUUGAACUAAGUCUCUUGUCCCAAUAAAAGAGCAAACUGUGCUGAAGGCCCUUCGGCAUGCUUCGGCUGCCUCAUCAAUUUCUACCUUCGGUUUUCGGAGGCCGAAGCGGGACCAGAUGGGUCACAUAAUGAUUUCUUUAAUAUCUUCUCUUGCCUUCAAAUCAUUUUCACGUAAAACCAUUCUUCCAUCCAGGCCCCGGACCACCUCUUCCGAAACGUUGGCACUGGGUAGCUUGCGCCAGAGCCAGCAACAAAGCUGUAGCACCCAAAAUUGUUAUGAUAUUGUUCCUUACCCCAAGGCUUCGUCUCAUACGAAAGCUCGUGCAUACUGCAAAAACAUCUUGCGCUUGGCUCUAGACCUUGACUCCUCACAGCCCAGACGAAGAUUCCCAUUCUGAUAAUUGCUUCGGGAGUGAUCUAGUGAAGGAAAAUCUGAUAUAUCUUUAAAACUUCAACCACAAAUCUGCUUAAUGGGAACCGAAGUCCAGCUUUGAAGAAACUUCGGUAGAUUACAACUUCGUCUUCUUUGGGAGCAGGAACGGCUCUAUCUACGUCAGCCCUCACAAUAGAGAUAUCUCGAAAAUACCUUCCUCUCAUAUUAUCAAGAUGACUCUGUUUGAUAGUUGAUUUCCCGAAGACUGCAUGACUUGGUCGCCAAGGACGAUCUUCAGAGUCUUCGCCUCCACUCUCCACAUCAUAGAUGUCGCUAUCAUCAGUAUCUUCAGACAAGCCUUCUAAUAUCUCUUUAGUUAUCUUCUCUGUGUUUGUUUUUGCAAUCGACUCAAUAAAUCCAGUAGUCUUCUCCUCAAGGAGCUUCUCCUCCUCGCUCAGCUUCGUCUCAGCAGCAACUUUUUUGUCUUGAGACAUCUUUUCUUCGGAAAUGGCGAAAAUGUGUCCUUAGAACCGAAGCUUAGAAAGUCUAAAAAACUAAGCAAGUGUUGGUAAGCAAGAGCUAAAAAAUUGAGAAAAACAAAGCAGGCGGCAAGUAACGUACCAAAUGUGCUCGGGGUGAGUUCUUAUUUAUACGCCCAGUGCGCUCCAAGUUGGAGGGCCCCGUCUGUCAUUGACUGUUGCUAUUCUAGCAAAGGGAAGGUGUUUUUUCGGACCUUCGGCUUAGGGCCUUUGUCCAUAUCGCAAUCUGAAUUUGUUAUUCUAACAAAUUAAUCUUGCGAGGGGCUACUGUUGGGGGCCUUCGUCUUCCGAAGGUCCUCAAAAACAAGAUUUAACAAUGUUUCUAGAGUUGUAAUACAUGAACAAGUACCUUCGGACUCAGAUCAGAACCACAGUGGGAGAAGCACGAACAAUACGAAGAUUGAUGCAGUGCCGAAGCUAUGCACAAGGGAGCUUCGGCAUGACAGCAGGAAAGGGAACCGACUUAAAGGGGAAAAGGCUAUUUAGACCUCGAUGAAUUACCUUAUAGUCAUUAGCAAAUGUAAAGGGCAUGGAUGUAAUUUCACAUGGGUUGUGUCCCAUGCCUAUAAAUAGAUGAACAGUACCCCCGUACUGUUCACGCUGACUUGCAUUUGCUCGUGCAUCACACUUGUACUUUUACCUUCUAUCAAGCUGAAGGUACAUUUGUAAUUUGAUAUCAUUUCUAUUUUUCCAUGAUAAUAAAAUAGAAAUGAGCUGAUAAUGUUACAUAAUUGUUCAUGUUAUAUCUUACAUUCCAUAUGAUUCUCCUUUUAUUGUUGUAUACUGCAAUGAUGAAGGAAUGUCCUUCAUGACCUUCGUCUGAAGAUCAUUAUAUCCUAAGGGAAAUAAUGUCUCGGAGGACGAAGGGCAUUAACAUUUAACAUUUUUUGUGUUGCCUUGUUCUUAACUCAUAGCAUUUGAGAACAAGUCUCCAACAACAGUGUUGCGCGCAACUGCUUUGGAUGAGGCAAACCCUCCGGGACUUUGGCUACAAGCUGAGCAAAGUCCCACUCCUAUGUGACAAUGAGAGUGCAAUCCGCUUGGCGGAUAAUCCUGUUGAACACAGUUGCACUAAGCACAUAGACAUCCGACAUCACUUCCUGAGAGACCACCAGCAAAGGGGAGAUAUCGAUAUAUACCAUAUUAGCACCGAGAACCAGCUAGCCGAUAUCUUCACCAAGCCUUUAGAUGAGAAAAGGUUUCGCAGGUUGCGUAGUGAGCUAAAUGUCUUAGAUUCGUGUAACUUGGAUUGAUCUAUAGCAUACAUGUGUUCUAUGCCUUUGAUCAUGUUACCUUAAGCAUUCAUGUCGUUUAUUGUUUAUUUUUUCGGUGCUCAAGUUGUACAAUUCAUCUCCGGACCUCACAAGUCCCGAUGCAAAUAAUGCACAUGUUUAGGGGGAGAUGUGCUACAACUUGACUCCUUUGAGACUAAUCUGUUUGUUUGAGUGCACUUGAAGUAGUCUCGAAGGAACAUUGAAAGGGAAAAUGAACUUGGACAAGGAAAGAGCUUCCACUGCAUUCCAGUAAAAUGUAUCUUGUCCUAAGUUUCUUUUUGUGUUCUCAUUGCCUUUUCGCUUCAAUUUCACAUUUUAGUGAGGCAAUGGGGUUAAAGGGCCAAAAGUUAUCCCGUUUUGGUGCUUAAUGCCAAAGGGGGAGAAAAUUAAGGCCAAAGCAAAUGGAUCAGCCAACCACUUGUGAACUUCGAAAAUAGUAGAGUUAGAAUUUGUAUUUUGUUCAAAAUACUAUUAUUGCAAAAUUUGGUCUCUUAUGGGGGAGAAUUUUGAUUAUGGAAAAAAGGGGGAGUUUUUUCCACUUGAUCAAAAUUACUCUUGAAACAUCUCUCUAUUUGCCCGAACAAGUGUGUUUGACUUAGAGAUUGGAAAACGAAUUUGAUUUGCGAAAACAAACCAAGUGGUGGCAAAAGUAAUCCAAAUAUGCCAAAUCCUAAGUGAAGAAAAUUUGGUCUUCAAUUUGCACUCUUUAGUUGCUUUUUAAUGUGUUGGCAUAAAUCACCAAAAAGGGGGAGAUUGAAAGGGAAAUGUGCCCUUGGGCCAUUUCUAUAAAUGUUUUGGUGAUUAGAUGCCCAACGCAAAAUACGUUGGUUCAUAAGUGCUAAGAUGCAAAUCAAAGAACAAGGUAUGUAUCCAACCUUAGUAAAUUGUUUUUGGGUACUAAUAUAUUUAUCUAAGUGCCAGAAAUCUUGCCAAAAGAAAUUGAAUUGGAGAAAACUGGCUGAGUCCAGCCAAACCAGCACCAGCCUAUGGUGCACCGGACAGUGUCCGGUGCCCAGGCUGGUCCGCUGCCCAGGCUGGCCCGGCGACGAACUCGUCGCUCUCGAGAAAAAGCAACGACGUCGCGGCUAAAAUUCACCGGACUGUCCGGUGUGCACCGAACUGUCCGGUGAGCCAAAGCCGUCUGUGCCAACAGUCGGCAGCACAAUUAGUGGGCGACGCGUGGCCUGCGCCAACGGUCAGUUGGCCACACCGGACUGUCCGGUGCGCCAACGGAACCGAAGGUCCAACGGUCGGGUGUGCCCAAUAAGGAAGGAUAUCGGGCACCGGACAGCUACUGUUCAUGUCUGAUGGUGCACCAGACUGUCCGGUGUGCCACCCGAUAGAAGGCAACAAUUGCCUUCCAAUUGGAACUUCAACGACUCCUAGCUGCCUUGGGGCUAUAAAAGAGACCCCUAGGCACAUGGAGCACACCACCAAGCAUUCUCUGAACAUUCUAAGCGCCUAGACUUCGCCACCACGCACUCGGAUCAUCGUGUUAAAGAUUUGAGCACUGUUUGAGUUGUAAACUCCCUGCGCCGUGUUUUGUGCUCACGUCUUGGCUUGUGUGCGUGUGUUUGUUGCGACUUGAGUAUUGCGUGUGUUGCUUGCCCUCCCUUACUCUUGUGCUUCUCUUGUGAUCAACAUUGUAAGGGCGAGAGGCUCCAACUUGUGGAGAUUCCUCGCAAACGAGAAAAGAACUCUAAAGAAAAAGACCAUGGUAUUGAAGUUGAUCAUUGGACCACUUGAAAGGGGUUGAUUGCAACCCUCGUCCAUUGGAACGCCACAACGUGUAAGUAGGCAAGUGUUAUACUUGGCCGAACCACGGGAUAAAACACUGUGUCUCUUGUGUUGCUUUUUUCUGUGAUUGAUUUCUUCUCAAGAGCUCACAACUUGGUUUGAUCUGACUAACAUUUUAUAAACCAAGUUUGUUCUACUAGCAUUGAAUUUUGCAGGAUCACCUAAUCACCCCCCUCUAGGUGCUCUCAAACCCACUGGGGUCAUCGGAGUUUCGCACUGUAGAUCCAGCACCGCCGCACAUCCGCCCUUCAUCGUGGACAAGCUCACACCUACACGAAUAUCGGUAAUAACUGUCUCAACUUGCUCACUUACGACUUCACUUUGAGUCGAGCGCUUCAGAUGGGAGAAUAGGGCAUCUGGGUUUGGGGAUGGUGGGUCGUCGGUGAUGGCGCCACCUCGGUCGGUCUUGGGCCGCCGCCCUUGUUAUGGUGGGGAAGAACAUGUAUGAGCUGUUGAUCUCCUGUGGUGCAGCUUGGAUCGUGCUGGGCUUAUCAGUUCGGUCGGGGGAAGGCAGGUACCAUUGACUCCGCGAUCUACAAUGGACAUGGGAUUGGGGGUACCGUUUUGCGAUGCAGUGAUCCUUGUCGUAGAUCAACCGAUGGAGGGAUCAGUGUUGAUCGCGAUGUGGCUUGAUGAGGACCGUGGAUCGCGAGUCUGAUGUCCGUUAUAGUGUAUUGGUUCAUUACAACGAGAAUCUAAUCCUGACCGUAGAUUCAAAAUCCAUCGGCCGAGAUCUAGUCAUACCCCUUCGGCCACCACUUUACAAAAGAGACCCUGCUCUUUUUCAGAUUCAACCCGCAUUCCACUCUGGUAGAGAACUGAGUCUUUGGAAAAACUAUGGAUUAUCCCCUGCACUCUCUGGAAAUUGACGCGUAGUCCAGAGAGUGAAAAAAUAGAUAGUUAAUAUCAGAAAUUGAUUUUUAAUACAAAAAUAAUUCCAGAAACUUGUAUAAUUCAUAUUAAAUUCAUUUUAGCUCCAAAUUAAUUCAUUCCAGAGACAUUAAUUUUGUUUCAAUAUUGUCUACCACUUAGUACCUCUGUUUAGCAAUAAAAUAUGAAUUAAAAUUAUUCAUCUGAAUUAAUUUAUACCAUGUACUCAAUAACUCCAGAAAUUCAUAACUCAAUAACCGUAACUCCAUUUUGAUCCAUUCUAGUUGCAUUAGUCUCACAAUAAUAUUUAUUAUCAUCUUGUAACUUUGUUUUGUCAUGAAAUAUAGGUUAAAAUGUUGCACAUAGUCAAUUCUAUAUUUAACCAUGUGGAUCUUCGUAAAACCAUAACUUUGUAACCGUAACCCUGAUUUUAGUGGUUCGUGAAUCCACGAUCUCGUAGCAACACGUAGAUUAUUAUUAUGUAGUUUAUUCUAAUGUUUGGUGUGAUGUUACUUUUGCAUAUACCAUGUUUGUUUGUAUUGCUACGACUAGCAUGAGGUUACGAGUCACUUGAAGAGCAAGUUGGUACCUGGAAUCUCAUGUGAUAGGCAAGUUGUGUCCUUGAUCACUUCUUUUUACCCAGUCAUGUUCUGAUUAAUCAUAAUGAUUUGCAUAGGUUAAAUUUAAUGGGACCCAAUAGGUUACCCUAGUUUGACUAUCUUUAUGCCUUGUUUACCACUGAACUUUUUGGGUAGUACUUGCUAGUGCUAUAUGUGGAUUUGGGCAUUGAGAUACACAUUAUUCAUACUUUUGUUAUCAGUUGUUAUUUACUGUUCAUGAUAAGAUCAUUAUGUUAAUUGGAACAUGGAGUGACCACCCGGGAAAACAGUGCUACCACAAGGGUGGUAUGGGACGUCCUUGGCUGACUAAUUAGGAAAGCUAGUGGAAGACUACCUUAUCCGAAAGGGGCAAGGGAAGUAGGGGAGUGGUCAGUGUAGGGAGGCCCUUGGGUUGAUUUUGCUGCGAUGGCGGUCAGGCGAGGGGUCCCUGCAUUGGAGCUUCCUAUAAACUGUAGCGGGUUUUCGGAAGCUAGUGGAACUUUAUAAAGGCCUCCUACUGUUACCCUUCCUCGCCUCCUCGGUAGAGGUGUAUGGGAGUCGCUAUCCCUUGGCAGAUGGGUAACAUGACUUGUGGGUAAAGAUGCACAACCUCUACAGAGUGUAAAACUGGUAUAUCAGCCGUGCUCACGGCCAUGAGCAGCUCGGACCCUCACAUGAUUAAUUUAUGGAACUAAAUUCAAUUUGUCAUAUGCAUUGCAUUGAGGGUGUUGUUAUCACUUUUGUUCUACUACUUAAUUGGGUUGGUAUUUACUUAUACUUAGUAAUUGCUAAUAAAAUUUUGACCAACUUUAAAAGCAAUGCUCAGCUUCAACCAUCCUGUCUGGUAAGCCUUACACUUCACGUGAGCUCCCACCUUUGGCGAGUUCAUGCACAUUAUUCUUCACAACUUGUUGAUCUAUGAACGUAUGUGAGCUCACUCUUGCUGUCUCACACCCCCCAUAGGUCAAGAACAGGUACCGCAGGAUGAGGCGCAUGGAGGAUGCUGUGACGAGUUCGUGAGAGGUCUAGGUCGUCGUCUCCCAGUCAACUUUGGGUUGCUCGAUCGUUAUCUCCUUAUGAUGUAAUUAUUUAUUUUUGUACAGAACUCCUAUUAUAUAGUAAAGAUGUGACAUUCGUUUCUGUACCACUAUUCAUCAUAUGUGUGAGACUUGGUUCUAGCACACAUGGUGUUUAUGUUCGCGCCCGGGUUCCUAAAAUCCUGGUGUGACAGAAGUGGUAUCAGAGGGAAUGUUGAUUGUAGGACGAAACCUAGAUAGAACAGGACAACCAUUGUCUACUUACCUCUGCUACUCUGAUUAUUUCUAAACUUAUCUUAAUCUUUUCUCAUCUAUUUCCGCUUUACUCUGAUUAUUCUUACCUUUUCCUUCUAAAGGCAAAUGUGGAUUUCACACUUUUGAAAUCAUGUGCCUAAAGUGAUCUUUAGGAAUAGGAGACCUACUCUUAGGAACAAAAACAAAACUAUUUUUAUGGGUAUCUAUGCGCUUGAGUGUUUGCUCUUAUGAUACUUGUCUUAUUUGGAUCUUUGAUUGAGUGUGAUGGAUUGUGCAGUAAUGUCCACAAUUGCAUAUGCAUAUACACCUAGACAUAAGGGAAAAUAUUUAUAAAAUAGACAACACAGAAUAUUCCCUAUUAAAAAAUAUAUCUAGUUUAAUAGAUCCUUUUUUCUUAAAAGAUUCUCUCUUAUCUUAAUAGAUCCAUCUUAUCUUAAAAGAUACUCUCUUACCUUAAUAUAUUCAUCUCAUCUCGAAAAGAUUUUCAUCUUAUCCCAUCUAAUCUAAACUAACCCAAUGUGACCCACUCAAACAGGUUAGUUAAUACUGGCGAAAUGGAUUAGACCCUAUCCACAUGUUUUAACUUAAUUCACUCUACACUAAAUUAAGAAUGACCGACCAGCUCGGCCUCAUGCAACUAUCUUAAACAUCUGAUGGUUGCAUAACCCCUCUGUUUUAACCUAACAAGAGAUUCCGACCUACCUACACCUAUCUCAAAAGAUUCUAACAUAUCCUAAUAAUAUUUAUUCUACCCUGGUAGAUCUAUCUAACUUAAACUAGUCAAAUCUAGUUAUAUCCAAUCUAAUCUAGACCCUACCUAAUCUAAUAUGAUCCAAUCUAAAGGGAGUUACUUAAACAAGUUAAUUAAUACUGGUAACAUAGAUUAGACCAUAUUCCUAUAAAUGGGUUUUAAAUCUAAAUUGGUGUCUUAGAUCAACUCGUCCGUGAAACCAUGACUCAGCCUAUGUUAUAGGUUGCCAAACCCAUUUGUCCCAAAAGCAAAGUAAAAUUUUGUUCAGUCUACCUACCCCAUGUACCCGCAAUUAUUAUCCCAACUCAGAUAAUGGCAUCUAACACCACAACCAAUGGUUCCUAAAGCAGACCCAAGAAGAAGGUUAACCUCAACAAUGAAGGAUGAGUAGAAACAGACCUUCAAACGAAUUAAGAUCCACCACCGGAAUAAAAGUCCCCCUUACCUAACCUUCUUUUACCCCAAAUCUGCUCUACCCUCACCUAAUGGCUAAAAUCUGAUGUACCCUUGUUUUCUAAGCCACACCCACUAAUGACAUGAAUAAUUCAGGUGUAUAAAAAAGGAUUAUACUAAUUGGAAGUUCCACUUAGAAAAAAAUACUGGAUUUUCAUAAAGAUAAAGUUAGCUUGAUAUGCUUAACUGAAUGAUAUUCUAACGUGAUCUAAUCUAUUGUGGUCUACUUAAGUAGAUUAGCGAUUGGACCCUACUAGCCAGGUGUUAACUUAACUUAGCACAUUAGACCAACUCAACCAUGAGCACAAGAGCUAACCCAACCAAUAGUGUCAUGAUGGAUUGAAUGAUCUGUCUAUCCCCACCUAACAUCAAACAAUAUUUUGACCUACACCAUGUAAGUCUAUCUCACCCAUAUCUAUCUCAUCUUAACAGAUUCUAUCUUACCUUUUGAAAUUCACCUUAUACGACUAGUUACCCCAAUCUGUACAUAAAACAACAGAUUAAGCCCUGCUAAAGAAUCUUCAGAUCAUAACCAGCUACUUGCAUAUUCAUUCUACUUACCAAAUACUUUCCAUUGCAAAACUAUCCUACCAUAUGCUUCUAACUCUCAUGGUCAAUACCAGGAAGGGAAGAUUAUCAGGCAACAGCAAACAGAAAUGAAUCCUCCAGAUCCUCCACCGGUUGGGACCGAUCCAGUGGUUGCCGCCUAAAUGCUAGUAAUGCAACAAAUGACAAACAUGGUUAACGAAAUGCAAAAUCAGAUAAGGCAAGAACGCCAGGAAAUACGUCAGGACCGGCUGGAGAUACGUCAAGAAAUGAGGCAAGCAUGGUUGGAAAGACAACAACAACACCCACUACCUCCACCACCACCACCAGCUCCACCAAGCUAUAUAUAUAUAUAUAUAUAUAUAUAUAUUACUAUUUGUAAGACCUAAAUGUUACUUUAGAUAGUAGUUAGUAUGUUACUAUUUUAGGAGUAAUAAUAAGGUCUAAUUGAACCUAUGUGCUGCUAAUAAAUUAUGCAUCAUGUUGAGAUUUUGUUUGUGCAUAUGUUUUGAGAUAACAUGGUUAUACACCCUUUUCUUACAAAUCUCGAGGACGAGAUUUCUGUUAAGGGGGGUAGGAUUUGUAAUGCCCAAAAAUGUAAACAAUGAAGGUGGAGUUGAAUUACCUAUAUGUUUGCCUCUAUUUAAUGUAAGCAUGUGAACACCACAUUUUACAAGCAAAUACACCACUAAUAAUACUAAAAAAUAAUUGUGUAUCUAGUAAAAAUAGUAAUCACAUUAAGGAAAUAAAUUAGUGUCCCAAAUUGGGGAUUUAAUCUCUAUUUUGAAUAUUUAAGAGUGGGAAAUAACAAAGAAAAGAAAAGAAAUGGAUGUCAUCAGUUGGUUUGCCAUCUCAUUACUAUAACAUGAGAUUAAUCAUAAUCAAAAGGACAAGAUAACUAAUGAAAAUAUUUAAUGCCUCAUAUUGAGUUUUGUUGUGCAUAUAAUAAUAAUAGCAACACUAUUAAUCAAAAUAUAAUAAUAAGGAAAUUGAAUUAAAACCUAAAUUGAAAAUUAGGGUUUGGGAAUGGAAUUGGAAAAAUAGAGAAAGAGUAUGAAAUAUAAGAGAAUAUAUAUAUAUAUAUAAACAUAUCUUCACAAAUAGUACUUAAAUUGUGCAAUAUUAUCUGGGAGUCAAAUGCCAGAUUUUAAAUUGAGAAAGGAAAUUCAAAUAACAAAAAAGAGAAAUUUCCCUGCGCUGGGCCAUAACCUCGUGUGCGACCCAUUACCUGUGCGCGCUCACGGCCCAGCAACCAUCCUGCAGCUCCUCUCUCUGCGCCGCGUGCGCGUUAUUCGACCGACGGGUGGGACCGCAUUGUCGGUCACUCAGCCGGUACCUAUGCACGAGAGUCAUCGCCAUAUGGGCCAUAUCCGUUAGCUCUAUCUCCCCCGUAAAUCCCGCAUACCAUGAACUGAUUACGGUUGAGCUCCGCACGGGUCCUCCUGACCCAACCCUCCUUCGGACUCGUGGCCAUGGCAGAUAUAAAAUACGGGAUCCAUACCCUCGUCCAUCACCUCAAGCACCAUCAAACCCCUAGGUCGAGUAUUGUGGAGAACGAAAAAAAUAGAGAGUGUGAGGUUUCACAGGGGAGAGAGGCGGAGUAUGCCGCCGCCGACCCGCGCCUACGUCGGUGAACCUUUUCCCCAAUGUGGUGGCCGUGUGAAUUCGCGGGUGCUCACUAGUGGCGGCCAUGACCAACUCGGGAAAGGAAACCCACUAGGGUCAUCAGAAUUUCACAUCGUAGAUCCAGCGCUGCCACACAUCCACCCUUCAUCGUGGACAAGCUCACCCCUACACGAAUAUCGGUAAUAAACGUCUCAACUUGCUCACUUCCGACUUCACUUUGAGUCGAGCGCUUCAGAUGGGAGAAUAGGGCAUUUGGGAUGGGGGGUGGCGGGUCGCCGGUGAUGGCGCCACCUCGGCCGGUCUUGUGCCGCCGCCCCUGUUAUGGUGGGGAAGAACACGUAUGAGUCGUUGAUCUCAUGUGGUGCGGCUUGGAUCGUGCUGGGCUUAUCAGUUCGGUCGGGGGAAGGCAGGUACCAUUGACUCCAUGAUCUACGGUGGAGAUGGGAUUGGGGGUACCGUUUUGCGAUGCAGUGAUCCUUGCCAUUGAUCAACCGAUGGAGGGAUCAGUGCUGAUCGCGGUGUGGCUUGAUGAAGGCUGUGGAUCGCGAAUCUUACGUCCGUUAUAGCGUACCGGUUCAUUACAACGAGAAUCUAAUCCUGACCGUAGAUUCAAAAUCCAUCGGCCGAGAUCUAGUCAUACCCUUUCGGCCACCACUUUGCAAAAGAGCCCCUGCUCUUUUUCAGAUUCAACCCGCAGUCCACUCUGGUGGAGAACUGAGUCUUUGGAAAAACUAUGGAUUAGCCCCUGCACUCUCUGGAAAUUGACGCGCAGUCCAGAGAGUGAUAAAAAUAGAUAAUUAAUAUCAGAAAUUUAUUUUUAAUACAAAAAUAAUUCCAGAAACUUGUAUAAUUCAUAUUAAAUUCAUUUUCGCUCCUAAUUAAUUCAUUCCAGAGACAUUAAUUUUGUUUUAAUAUUGUCUACCACUUAGUACCUCUGUUUAGCAAUAAAAUAUGAAUUAAAACUAUUCAUCUGAAUUAAUCUAUAUCAUGUACUCAAUAACUCCAGAAAUUCAUAACUCAGUAACCGUAACUCCAUUUUGAUCCAUUCUAGUUGCAUUAGUCUCACAAUAAUAUUUAUUGUCAUCUGGUAACUUUGUUUUGUCUUGAAAUAUAGGUUAAAAUGUUGCACUUAGUCUAUUCUAUAUUUAACCAUGUGGAUCUUCGAAAACCAUAACUUUGUAAUUGUAACCCUGAUUUGAGUGGUUCGCGAAUCCACGAUCUCGUAGCAACGCGUAGAUUAUUAUUAUGCAGUUUAUUCUUAUGUUUGGUGUGAUGUUAAUUUUGCCUAUACCAUGUUUGUUUGUAUUUCUAUGACUAGCGCGUACCUGGAAUCUCAUGUGCCAGGCAAGUUGUGCCCUUGAUCACUUCUUUUUACCCAGUCAUGUUUUGAUUAAUCAUAAUGAUCUGCAUAGGUUAAUUUUGAUGGGACCCAAUAGGUUACCCUAGUUUGACUAUCUUUAUGCCUUGUUUACCACUAAACUUUUUGGGUAGUACUUGCUAGUGCUAUAUGUGGAUUUGGGCAUUGAGAUACACAUUAUUCAUACUUUUGUUAUCAGUUGUUAUUUACUGUUCUUGAUAAGAUCAUUAUGUUAAUUAUAACAUGGAGCGACCACCCGGAAAAACAGUGCUACCACAAGGGUGGUAUGGGACGCCCUUGGCUGACUAAUUAGGAAAGCUAGUGGAAGACUAUCUUACCCGAAAGGGGCAAGGGCAGUAGGGGAGUGGUCAGUGUAGGGAGGCCCUUGGGUUGAUUUUUCUGCGAUGGCGGUCAGGCGAGGGGUCCCUGCAUUGGAGCUUCCUAUAAACUGUAGCAGGUUUUCAAAAGCUAGUGGAACUUUGUAAAGACCUCGUAGUGUUACCCUGCCUCGCCUCCUCGGUAGAGGUGUUUGGGAGUCGCUAUCCCUUGGCAGAUGGGUAACAUGACUUGUGGGUAAAGAUGUGCAACCUCUACAGAGUGUAAAACUGGUAUAUCAGUCAUGCUCACAGUCAUGAGCAGCUCGGACCCUCACGUGAUUAAUUUAUGGAACUAAAUUCAAUUUGUCAUAUGCAUUGCAUUGAGGGUGUUGUUAUCACUUUUGUUCUACUACUUAAUUGGGUUGGUAUUUACUUAUACUUAGUAAUUGCUAAUAAAAUUUUGACCAACUUUAAAAGCAAUGCUCAGCUUCAACCAUCCUCUUUGGUAAGCCUUACACUUCACGUGAGCUCCCACCUUUGGUGAGUUCAUGCACAUUAUUCCCCACAACUUGUUGAGCUAUGAACGUAUGUGAGCUCACUCUUGCUGUCUCACACCCCCUACAGGUCAAGAACAGGUACCACAGGAUGAGGCGCAUGGAGGAUGCUGCGACGAGUUCGUGAGAGGUCUAGGUCGUCGUCUCCCAGUCAACUUUGGGUUGCUGGAUCGUUGUCUCCUUAUGAUGUAAUUAUUUAUUUUUUGUACAGAACUCCUAUUAUAUAGUCAAGAUGUGACAUUUGUUUCUAUACCACUAUUCAUCAUAUGUGUGAGACAUGGUUCCAGCACACCUGGUGUUUAUGUUCGCGCCCGGGUUCCUAAAAUCCGGGUGUGACAAUUACGAAGGGCUCCGUGUCUACCUGCAUUUCCUGAAAUUUCAAUCGUCCCUCGUUAAUGGUCGAUUGAAUCUGUCGUCAAAAUACAUUGCAAUCAUUAGUGGCAUGAGAAAAUGAGUUGUGCCACUUGCAGUAUGUGCGGCGUUUUAGUUCGUCAGCGGGUGGAAUAGUAAGGUUUAUUUUAAUGUUGUUAUUUUUGAGUAAUUCAUCAAAUAUUUUGUCACACUUGCCAACAUUAAAUGUAAAUUUAACCUCCUCUUGUUGUUUCUAUUGAACCGACUGUAAGGAGGAACAAGCCGAAGAUUUGGCCUGUUUUGGCCAAACCAUUUCAGCAGUGUAUACUUUUUUUGAUUCGUCGUCCAAGCUACUCUGGUCGCAUUCUACUAUAUGUACAUUGUGACAAAUAGUUUUGGCAGUUUCUUUGCUUCGACUUUCACUACCAGAAUCGAGCGCUUUGCCGAGUGCCUGAAGCACUCGCCAAAAACUUUGCCGAGUGUGACACUCGGCAAAGAGAGCUCGGUGAACAGUACAUCGGCAACGACUUAUUUGUCGAGUACUUUUUAUCGGGCACUCGGCAAACACUCGGUACUCGGCAAAGAAAAGUGGCCGUCACGGUGCCGGGUAACGGAGACGGCGCCUUUGCAUAGUGUUCUAGGUGACACUCAGUAAAGAAGUUACCUUUGUCGAGUGUCUACUUGCCUACACUCGGCAAAGGGUCCACCAGCGGGGCCCUUAUAUCAAGUUCUUUGCCGAGUGCUCUAGGAGACACUCGACAAAACUUGCUUCUUUGCCGAGUGUCGGGGCCACAACACUCGGCAAAGAAGCUUUACCAGUGCCCAGGUGUUGCUUCUCUGUCGAGUGCUAUGGCCCUGACACUCGACAAAGAGGUCCUUUGCCGAGUGUAACACUCAGCAAAGUGACCAGUAUACACCAUUUUAUUUGUUUUUUCUAUUCCAUCCAAACAAACAAAAGAUAUCACAUAUACAUCAUAGAUAUCACAUAAUCAUCACAGAUAUCACAUGUACAUCACAUAUCUCACCACCACCACCAACAACAACAACAAAGCCUUUUUGUCCCAAGCACGUUGGGGUAGGCUAGAGAUGAAACCCCAUAUGAAAACCUCAGAGCUCAACCCCCAAAGAAAAGAAAACAUAAGUAUCAAACACUCAAGAACAUAAGUCUCAUAAGUCUCAAGUUCUCACAUAAGUAUCCAACACAAACAUAAGUAUCCAACACAGCAUUACCAACAAGUUCUAAAGUCUCAAGUAUCUCAUAAGUCUCAACACUAAGAACAUAAGUCUCAUCGAGGUGGGCGACUGGACUGGUGCGGCGAUGGGCUGGGCGAUCCAUGAGGGUUGUUGGAUGUCAUUGCCACCAUCAUUAUAAUGAGGGGGUGGAUUAUGCUUGCUCAUAAGUUUGUCACCGUAGUAAGUUGUUGUGAAGUUUGACACCUCCUCUAGAAUGUAUGCCUCUGCAAUUGAAGCCUCGAUUUUGCAUUUAUUUCUACAUUUCUUUCGAAUAGUCUUUAGACAUCUCUCGAUUGGAUAGCACCAAUGUCCCUGCAUGCCCCCCCAUUCGUGCCUCAUAGGGGAGAUGAAGAAUCAAAUGUUGCAUUAGAUUGAAGAAGUUGGGCAGAAAUAUCUUCUCAAGCUUGCACAGUAACACGGGUGCCAAUCUUUCCAAGUCUGCAAUCACGGUCCGAGAUAACUCUUUUGCACAAAGCUGGUGGAAGGAAUAGCUCAACUCUGAAAGCGCUAGCCAGGCAUGCUCAGGGACAUAGCCUUGAACAAUUGCAGGAAGAAUCCGUUCAAUCCAUAUGUGGAAGUCAUGACUCUUCAUCCCUAAGACUCGCAGAGUAGAUAAGUUCACCCCCCUACUCAGGUUAGCUGCAUACCCAUCAGGCAACAUCAACAUCUUGAUCCACUGAAGUACUUCCUUCCUUUGGGCCCUGCUUAGGACGAAAUCGACCUUAGGCCUUCUCCAUGUCUUUCCACCACUAGGCGGCUUCAUCUCUUAGUUUGGUCUAUCACAUAACGCUGCCAGAUCCACUCUUGCCUUUAUGUUAUCCUUUCACUUAUCAGGAAUGUCCAUAAUUGUUGCCCAAAGUGCCUCGGCAACAUUAUUUUCAAUGUGCAUCACGUCAAUGUUGUGUGGAAGGAGCAGGUCGUCAUAAUAGGGGAGUCGAGUCAAGCCUGACUUAUGUGUCCACAUAUGCUGCUCACCAUAUCCCACAAAACCACAUUCUGUAUUGGCCACGGGCCCAUCUAUCUGUUGACGAAUUUCGGCACCAGUCAUUAUUGCAGGUGGGCGGUCUGUCACUACAACACCUUUCGUAAAGUUCUUGAUGUCUAGGCGGAAUGAAUGGUCAGGAGGGAGAAAUUGUUGAUGUUUAUCGAAGGACAAAUAUUUGUCACCCUUUUUCAACCAAAUGAACUUAAGAGCUUCCUUGCAAACUGGGCAUGGGAACUUACCGUGAACACACCAGGCGCAAAAUAUCCCAUAUGCUGGUAAGUCAUGCAUGGAGUACUGGUACCAAACAUGCAUUUUGAAGUUUGUCUUCGUAGCUCGGUCAUACGUCCAUACCCCUUCCUCCCAAGCACGUACCAAUUCAUCGAUCAAAGGCUCCAUGUACACGCCCAUUUUAUUCCGAGUGUUUUUCUGUGCCGAGAGUCCCUAACCAUGUGUAUAAACUCUAAAAGGUGCUUUAUGGGCUCAAGCAAGCCCCAAGAGCAUGGUAUGAAUGCCUGCGAGAUUUCCUUAUCACUAAUGGCUUCAAAGUCGGAAAGGCUGAUCCUACUCUCUUCACUAAAACUAUUGCAAAAGACUUGUUUAUAUGUCAAAUUUAUGUUGAUGAUAUUAUAUUUGGGUCUACUAACAAGUCAACUUGUGAAGAGUUUAGUAGGAUCAAGAUACAGAAAUUCGAGAUGUCUAUGAUGGAGGAGUUGAAAUAUUUCCUUGGAUUUCAAAUCAAGCAACUCCAAGAGGACACAUUCAUCAGCCAAACUAAGUACAUUCAAGACAUACUUAAGAAAUUUGGAAUGAAGAAUGGCAAACCCAUCAAGACACCCAUGGGAACCAAUGGGCAUCUCGACCUCGACACGGGAGGUAAGUCCGUAGAUCAAAAGGUAUACCGGUCGAUGAUAGGUUCUUUACUCUACUUAUGUGCAUCUCAACCAGAUAUUAUUCUUUUUGUAUGCAUGUGUGCAAGGUUCUAGGCAAAUCCUAAGGAAGUUCACCUUAGGGCCGUGAAAAGAAUCAUGUGAUAUUUAGUUUACACUCCUAAGUUUGGGCUUUGGUACCCCAAGGGAUCUACCUUUGAUCUAAUUGGGUAUUCCGAUGCCGAUUAUGCCACAUGUAAAAUUGAUAGAAAGAGCACAUCAGGGACUUGUCAGAUUCUGGGAAGAUCCCUAGUGUCUUGGGCUUCUAAGAAACAAAAUUCUGUAGCUCUUUCCACUGCUAAAGCCGAGUACAUUGCCGCAGGACAUUGUUGUGCGCAAUUCUUUGAAUGAGGCAAACCCUUAGGGACUAUGGCUACAAACUGAGCAAAGUCCCUCUCCUAUGUGAUAAUGAGAGUGCAAUCCGCAUGGCAGAUAAUCCCGUUGAACACAGUCGCAGUAAGCACAUAGACAUCUGGUAUCACUUUCUGAGAGAUCACUAACAAAAGGGGGAUAUCAAAAUUGCUUAUGUGAGCACCCACAACCAAUUAGCCGAUAUCUUUACCAAGCCACUAGAUGAGAAAACCUUUAGCAAACUUAAGAAUGAGCUAAAUAUACUUGAUUCUCGGAAUUUUGAUUGAAACAUUGCACACAUAGCUCAAGUAUAUACCUUUGAUCAUAUCUCUUUCAUUUGGUACAAAUGCAUAUUUCUUAUUCUUCUUGUGCCAAGGCUAAGAUUGAUGUGCUUUCAAGUGUAUUUCUAUACUUAGUCUUAGAUUGGAAGGGAAAUGGAGUAUUCGGCAAAGACAAGGCUUGCACCCCCAACCACCUCAUUCAAAGCCAUCCAAGCCUUCUGAAAUAUUCAUUCAUUGCAAGAGCAAAGUCCAACACUCCAAGACACAAUCAAAGCAAUCAAUCCACUCCAAGUUCCCAAAAUCAACUCUAGUGCUUUAGGGCUUGUGAGAGGAUCACUUGUGAUCUUUUGUUGCUCUUGUCGCUUGGAUUGCCUUCUUGAAAGGGAAAUAGGGUUAACCAUUUCCUAUAAUUAAUUUUGGUGGUUGAUAGUCAACACAAACACAUGGACUAACUAGUUUGCUCUAGAAUUCAUGUAUUACAGGUGCAUAAGGUUCAACACAAACCAAUAAAAGAUUCAAGUUAGGGACACAAUUUGAAACGGAGCAAAGAACUUGAGUGUGCUGAGAAUUGGCGCACCGGACUAUCCGGUGUGCCACCGGACAAUGUCCGGUGCACAAGGCCGUACAAGUUCAAACCAGCCACUCUCGGGAAUUCCAUGGCGCGCUCCGCUAUAAUUCACCGUACUGUCCGGUGUGCCACCGGACUGUCCGGUGAGCCAACGGAGCAACGACUAUCUGUGCCAACGGUCGACUCUGACAGCAGGAACAGUGCAGCACAGUACCGUGCAGAAGUCAGAGCAGCGGAGUCAGAGGGGCAUCGGACUGUCCGGUGUGACACCGGACUGUCCGGUGCCGCAAGAGGACAAAGCUCCAAGGGUCGACUCGACUCCGAACCCUAACGGCUGGGUGACGUGGCGGUGCACCGGACAAGUAACAGUGCCUGUCCGAUGGCUACCAAAGUGGUUGGGGGCUAUAAAUACCCCCAACCAUCGCAACAUUUGGCAUCCAAAGUUUUCUGAAGAUCACAUUCAAUACAAGAGCUCUAGAAUUUAUUCCAAGACACAAUACAAAAGAUCGAAUCCUCUCCAAGUCCCAAAUUCAUUCCAAACACUUAGUGGCUUGUGAGAGAGAGAUUUUUGUGUUCAUUUGCGCUCUUGUCGCUUGGAUUGCCUUUCUUCUUUUCCUAUUCUUAUUCUCAAGUGCUUUGUAAGCGAGGCAAGAGACACCAAGUGUGUGGUGGUCCUUGUGGGGUCUUAGUGACCCGUGAGAUUAAGGAAGAAGGCUCACUCGGUCUAAGUGACCAUUUAAGAGAGGGAAAGGGUUGAAAUAGACCCGGACUUUGUGACCUCCUCAACGGGGACUAGGUUCUUUGGAACCGAACCUCGGUAAAACAAAUCACCAUGUUCACUCGCCUUAUUUCUUGGUUUAUUUGUUUUCCCUCUCUUUCUGACUUGAAUUUAAUUCUAACGCUAACCCCCGGCUUGUAGUGUGUCUUUAAAGUUAUAAAUUUCAGGUUUCGCCUAUUCACCCCCCCCCCUCUAAGCGAUUUUCACUUCUUCCUUUCUCAUUCCAUUUCUCAAGUGGUUUGUAAAGCUAAGCAAGAGACACCAAGUGUGCGGUGGUCCUUGCGGAGUCUUAGUGACUCGUGUGAUUAAGGGAAGGCUCAAUCGGUCUAAGUGACCGUUUGAGAGAGAGGGAAAUGGUUGAAAUAGACCCAACCUUUGUGGCCUCCUCAAUGGGGAUUAGGUUCUUUGGAACUGAACCUCGGUUUCGCCUAUUCACCCUCCUCUAGGCGACUUUCACAUACCAUGCGAAUGCAUUUCCUGUUAAAGAUAAUCAAAAUAAACGCACACGGAAUGCCUCUGUGUCGGCUAAUUCUCCUAAUUGCGCUAAUAACUAGCCUAUGUGCUCGCGUGUGCUCUUCCCUUGGUCACCCGAAAAUUUUGCGAAUUCGGGUAUCCUGGUUCCCUGUGGGUAUGUGUGGUAGUUAAAUCGGCUAUCAUAAGGUCUCCGAUAAGACUGCCCCCAGGCACCAUGCUAACUCCGAGCUUAUCUCGGAACGCCCCGACUAUUUCUUCCCUUACUAUAUCGAUAGCAGCCGGUGUGAGACCAUCGGCUCUUUGGUCCGAUAUGGGUGAGGUUGUUUGGAUAUUGGCAUAUUGUCUUCCUCCCACUAGUUUGGAUUUUGUGGCGUAUUAAUAUUUGCCCUAUGCGGCUCAUAGGAACGGUCGUCUCUUUUCGGCCUUCUAUGGGCCGGAAAGUACUCACUCCCUUGUGUUUGGAAUGCUAUAUUAUGGUGCUGUGGUGCUAUAGGAUAUGACGGGAAGUUCAGCUAGGACGGAUAAAGAUUUGGGCAACAAUCUUCCUCAAAAAACUCUGCGCCGGACCGUCCAGUUAGAUACGCGGACCGUCUGGCUGUGUGCGCGAACCGUCCGGCCAUAUGGUCGAACCGUCUGUUAUUGUAUGCGGACUGUCCGUCACUGUACGCGGACGGUCCGACUGGGUAGUUUAGGGUUUGCGCAGUACGUGGCGGCUCGGGUGUAUUUCUAAAAAUGGGAUCGGCCGCUGCUGGCCCGGAUGGUCCGCGCUCACGUGCGGACGGUCCGGACAUGCGCAGAUCGGCAAAUUUAUCGCCGAUUUGCAUAGGAGGUUGUGGUUUUCCAGGGUGUGUGUCUAUCGCCAUCCCUUAAAGGGGUUGUGAUUGGUCGUGACAAGCUGUAGCCGAUGAAUCACGUGUGUUUUCUGCCAAAUCAACCUCGUGCGAAGGAAAAUUUGCGACGGUGGACUUAUCAAAAGCACGUACUAGCCUUCUAUAGUCAUUUUGCAUACCCCUAUGAUAUUUUGCAUUUGGUCUCGCUGCUCAUCUAUGUAAGCUUUAAGAGAUUGGAGUUUGUUUGUGUCGCUCACCUUGGGGUAGCCGUAGUAGGUCGGAGCGAAGCCAGAUUUGUCGCCUGUUGUUGAACGACUUUAUUGUUCCUGUCCACUUUAAAGUUGGCCAGGAAUUUCGUCUUCGCUUCCUUGAUCAGCUGCUCCUGAUGCUCCUCGAACUUGAGUUGUUCUUCAGCCGACAAGGUUUCCCAAGUCUCUAUGAUAUUGCUGGUGGAACCGUCAGAGCUAUAUUUUGAACCCGCCAUUGAGGGUCGAUCUGAUAGGUCUGUACACGAAGUCCCUAGCAGAGUCGUCAAAAAGUGUGUUGGCGCCGAUCCGGGUGCCAAUCACUGUGGUGAGAACCGGUGGCGGUGCUCUCUGCGGAGGUGCGGACGGUUCGCGACGUGGCGCGGAGGCUGGUUCCUGCAUGAUGGGCCGGACGGUUCGCGCGUGCGCAGGGGCGGCGUAGUUCGCCAGCGGCGCAUGGAUCUUGCUCCCGGGAGGAAUCCCGUUGGGGAGGAGAGAUCCUAGGCCUUGUCUAGAGACCGGCAGGCCACCCUAGACAACUCUAAUCGACAUAGAACCAAAGAGAAGUGAAGAAUUGAGGUAGAGAAGGGCUAAACUAGAACUACUCCUAAUGUACAAGGUAAAAUAAGAGAUAUAUUGAUUAUUGAUUCGAUUGUUCAUAUUCAAUCGGCCAUAGUCUCCAUAUAUAUAUAGAGGGGAGGUUUGGACCCGUUACAAUCCGUAUCCCGAGCUAAAUCCGCAGUUUUAGCUAACAAAUACCGCAAGAAACUCGGAACCCUAACUGAUUCUGCACGCGCGCGGACCGUCUGCACCACCAGCGUGGAUUGUUCGGACCGUGGACCGUGCGGCCCCAGGCCGGACCGUCCGCCCGUCUAUUUUGGUGCCCAACACUGGCAACAUCAUAUUCUUAUCAGUUCUGUGUAUAUAUGUUUCUCUAUUCACGGCAUAUGUAUAGCUGCUGAGUUUCUCUAUUCACAGCAUAUGUAUAGCUUCUGAACGUAAUUUUUUUUUGCAUCCUUUCCCUUUUUGUUUCUCGUUGUGUGUUGAUACCUAGUAAUCAUUGCUAGUAACUUUGUAUUUCAAAUAAAAAAUGAUAAAUAAUUUGUAGUCCUAAUGGAUGCCAAAAUGACUAGUCAACAUGAUUAACUUCUCAAAUAUAUGUUCUUUAGCAAGGUUUAGUUACUAACUAAUUAGUUACAAUGUUUUAUUGUAUCUUUAAUUAUUUACUAGGUGAGUGCCCGUGCGUUGCAACGGAACCGUAUAAUAACACGAUAACCAAAGAAUGAGAUAGAGACAUUUUUGCAUUCCAUCAUGAGAAGCUAACCAGUUUGUACAUAUAUAUAAUGUUCAGCCAGCAAAAUACAUACAAGCAAACAUGCAUCAUGAGAAGGUAUGCCUGGUGUAACUUCCCACCCGAGUUUUGAAUUAAAAAACGAAACAACAACGAAUCUUAAAUCCUAGGCAAGUAACCAGAGAAAUGUAUUCAUCCAACAUAUAUGAUGAUCUGUGCUAAGUGCGCGUGGUAUGAUGCAAUCUUAUGAGUAUGCGUGGUUAGUGACUAUGAUUUUCACAGCUAUAUCAAUUGCUUGCCCCACAAAUGAUCAGCCAGGGUCAGGUAAACCAUAUUGUGUAACCAUCACUAUAACACUGCAAUCAUUUUCUAAAUAGUACUUUUAUAAAUCACAAAUCGAAGGUAUAAAUACAAAAGUCUAGAAAAUUAUAAAAAAACCUUCAUAAAGCUGGCUUCAUCGCAGUACCAAAAGAGCAGUACCAAGUGAGAAAAAUAGCAGUAAUUUGUUGUCUGGUGGUAAGCAUGAAGAUUGAGAUUGCAACACAAAUAAACACUACCUCUUGAUUUGCAUGCGUCCCAAGAUUGCAACCAGAUUUUUACAAAUAAACACUAUGCACCAAAUGCACCAGACAAAUGUACAUUUGUGUGAAACAGACUACAAGAAACAACUGAAACAAGCACAUACGGUGACUCGCUGGACGCACCAUUUCACAUUAACAGAAGCAGAAUUAUCAGUCAAAGCACACAUUAUAGUCUGAACCUCUCCAAACUGCCUCAUGUUGGCUCAAGUCCAGGUUCCCCCUAAACCUCCCCUCAUAACAAAAACAGGAGAUAAGGAGAAUUGAGAGAGCUAAGAGUUCGUGAUGAUCAAUUUUAGAAUACGAGCUUAUAAUCUUCUUCAUAUUUGUAUUCACAGAGUAUUGUCCACUGAUCAGAACUCUCUAAAAUUGUUAUCCUGUUGGUUCCCGAUCGUAUCCAAAUUCAACACACCAGUGGCCAGCGUAUGUACAGGACGAACUCACCAUUGCCUAGCUCACUGUUACAUUCAUCCAUUACAUCUAUCCAUGCAGCAUUACGUACAUUUGAACAAAUAAUAACUGCUAAUUAUUCAUGACAGACAAUUUGCUUGUCACAGACAUGAGUUAAGACGCAGCAUUGUUAAAUAUAAAAUACACGACAUAUAUAUAUAUAGAAUAAUAGGGUAUGUGACAUUGUUGCUGUGGAGAACAAGAACGAACAUUCUUCUUUUCUCCGCAAAAAGAAUAACAGUAAAAAAAUGUACAACCAUUGAAGGGGUAUCAGUAGCCUCUAUAGUAGGGCGCCCCGCCAUAGAUAUCAACAGCUUACUUGGUCACCAACGAACUACAAAUAUAACAACAGCAGUUAUAGCCAAUCAAUGGAUCAACAGCUAGGGGGGCUUCAGUUGCGACUAAUUCGCAUGGUGUGAGCACGACCAGCCGCCAGUCGAAGCGAUUAUGCAACAGGAGGGCACGCUUCACUGUCCUUCGAGGUGUCAACCUAUGAAGGCGGCAUGAACUGCCACAUUGGGUACCCCGGAUAGCUGACAAAGGGCAUCAUCAGCUUCUGCCAUGUAGCUUGCCCCUGGGCAUGGAACGGUGCUAGGGGUGCCUGAGGGAAAGGCACCGGCAUCAGGGUUGGAUGAGGCAUGUAGGUUGGAGUCGAUGUCAUCAGCUUCAUCUGGUGUUCUAAACUCUCAUUCUCCAAUUUCAGCUUCUGCUUCUCAUCACGAAGCUCAUCCUUCUUGGCCUGGAAUUUAAAGAAACAACAACUAAUUCAUACAUAUUGGAGAUCAUAGGGGGGGAGGAGGUCAGAAAAGAAGUAACUUUGUGUCCUUAAAAAAAUCCAGAUCCAGUGGAGUAGUUAAGGCCUAGCAGUCACAUUGAACAAUACAAUAUAUUGUAAUCAACAGUCUGAUCAAAUCAUUAGCAAACUUACUCUGCAUAAAGGGUCAUGGUGGAUUGAAUUUUACAGAACUACAAAUGCUUCCAGAGCUUGUGAUAGCUAAUUGUAUCCAUCAUAAAAAAUGAAGGCUUUAGACCUGUCAUUGGAUACCCUAACCCAUUCCCCAAAUUCACACUCGUGAUUUGGGUCGGGUAUGGGUAACUGGGUAACUUGCUACCCUUAGGAUCAAGUGUAAGUACGGGUCCCGCUAUUUCUACACGUCAUCGCCUCUCCUUCCCUUGUGACCUCCUAACAUAGUUGUUUCUGAAAGAUAUCAUAGGAACCGCAAGCCCCCUCCAUAUCAGCAUAUCUCCAUUGCAUUCCUUUGUGCCUCCAAUAUCUCACAGGACCGUGCACGAGUGACGGCGGUGAAACCUGGGCAGACCCAGUGGAGGGGCAGGUGUGGAAGUGUGACACGUAGGUGUGCUGAUGUCCAGCUGUGGCAGCAGCGACGAGAAACCCACGUCACCUCACCCACAGCACUUGACCUGUAGUGUUAUACGAAUAUUCCAGCACUUGUGAACAAGAGCCCAAGCAGGAAAACACACCAUAAUGAGUGACAUGAUCCAGAUUGUCCAAUGGGUAGGGGGUUAUGGGAAGGUGUGUAGACUGGACAUUUCAGAAAUGGGGUUGAGCAUGGGUGCGGCCUGGUGUGUUCAUACCCUCACCAUAGACAGGUCUAGGAGUCUUUAUAUGACCAAUUCAUGUUUUGUGCUCUGUUGUUCAUAAUCAACAUACGGGUAAUGACUAACGAAUUAUGUAGUCUAUAAUCAGCCAGGGGCUGAUUUUGUGUAAGCUACUGGGAAAUGCCUUGGAUGAGCUAUGCAAGAGCAAUCACAGUGUAUUCACGUGAAGGGCAUAAGCUACAAAUACCAUAAAGCAUUGCCAGCCUAGAUAAAGAUGGCAUAAUUGUAAAUGAACAUAAGAGUGCUACUGGGAAUUGUUAUGGAUUCCUGAAUAACACAGGGGCAUGUUCGCACCAUAGAAGUACAAUGUAUUAUAUGUGGGUUAACAGUGUUCAAAAGAAAAGGCUGAAUAACCUUGAGUUCUUUGAUCUUUUCUUCAAGGCUACCAUUAGUUUCUUUCAGCUGCUGUGCUUCUAAACGAAGCUGAAUAACCAUGAGAGUAGCAUCACUUAGGAUAGCAACUUUGUCAGCUUUUACUGGCUUCCCUGGUUCUAAUGUAGACCCUAAUUCAAGGAACCUAGAAACCGUAAGAAGGAAAUGAAAAGGUAUGUCAGUGACGUGGCAAUUCAUUUUUUGAUACUCCAGUGUCAGCAAAAUUAUGUCUAUAGUUUACCUGUCAUUCAGCUUGUUCCUCCUCAAUUUUCCCUAGAAGCUUUAGAUGUUGGCACAUGCAUAUCAUUGGAUCCUGACCUCAAACUGCAAGUUGCAGUAGAGUUACAAUUGUAUGGAUGAUGCCAUCAUACAUCAAGACAAUAUGAAUACUUUUCUUAAGCCAUAGGGCAAAAUAACAGACACACCGUUUAUUGCUGCCAGGCUCCUUGAAGACAUCAUUGGGCUCCUUGAAAACAUCAUUGGUGUUCACAUAGCUGCCCACUUCCACACUGCAAAAUAAGGGGAAAAUCAAUUAGCAGAUCCAGCUGUAAAUGAACUUUCUUUUUCCUAUUUGCUACUACCUAAGUUCAACCAAAUAACAUGUAAGGCAUUGAGCUCUGCCCAUAUGGGGUAGACUGCAUUCAGUAAUAAAAAAGGCAGCAAACAACAGAAUCACUGCAAAUUACUCCGAAAUUAGUACCAUAGCAGGAUCAGUGCAUACAUGACAGAUGGGAACUUAUAUCUUUGGCUAUGCAGUCCGGCUUUACGAUGUCAUCCAUGACCUAGCAGCACAUCCCAUUGCUCGCAACACAUACUUAACAUCAGGACUGGUGACACAAUCCUCCAUCAAUUGAGUCGCCAGCAUAAAGUGGAAGAAGAGCGACUCCGGGCAGGAGGCGUGCUUGAGCAGCGAGUAGAUGGCUGCCAUGGAGCCCCUGAGGUAGUGCGCGUCGAGCGUCAUGGCGAUGUGCACCAGGCCCUCGCGCCCGCCACAGGGGCCGGGCACCCCUCCCCGUUCUUGUACUCGGGCGCCUCGGCGAACCUCGGCAGCCCCGCCGCCACGCCGGCCCCUGUGGAUGACCCUGGCUGGUGGACGGCAUCUGCUGGGCUACCGGUAAGAACGACGGAUUGGGGCAAUUGGGGCGUCCUCGGCGGGCGUUAACAGGGGGUUGCGGUUAUGGCGGCGGUGGGAUAGAGAGUCACGACGCUAUCACGUCUGGAGGCAGAACAAGCGAAUGUGGACGCCUACACUGAGUACUUAAUUAGUUGUUAAGAUUAUAAGCAAAACAAUAGUCUAGUAGACGGAUUAUCUCAAAAAAAAUCUAGCAUACUGCAAGAGUCAGUGGGUGUACCUGGGGCACAAGUCCUGCUUCCAUUUAUACUUCCGUGUCCACACCACACACAACGGAUCCAUAGCCAAUUUAUACAAUAGGAUGGACAGAUUAUUAUAACUACAAAAUGUACAACAUCGUUUUCAUAAGACUUCGACUAACUCAUCUCCCAUCUUAUUAGUGAAUCGAGCCAAUACAUCCAAAAAAUGAAUAUGCAGUAAGACUUCAAAAAACAAUAAUCAAGGUAAAUAGCCCAAGUUUGUGGAACAACAGAACUCUUCACAUUACAAGAUAUUUUGGACCAUAGGGAGAAGUAUAUAUGAAAAGGUUGUGCAAAACAUACGUUAACAUUCUCUCAACCUGCUUUGCAACAUUGUACUCCAGAUCAGCUUCCUUUUGCUUAGUUCGGCCAGACAACCAUUCUCGUUGAUUCUAAAAGUGAUGGAAGAACAUAAAGUUGAUAAUUUUCAUGGAGUAAGAUGUACUACACAAACAAAUGAAAGAACAAAUUAGAAUAGUGACACCAAAGAAUUAUGCUACCACAUUGUCUUUAAUUUUACCUCAUCUCUGAACAGAGGAAGUAUUAAGUUUUCCUUUAGAACAACCUGAAAGUGACCAAGAAGAAACAAAUCAAGGCUAAAUCACAAAUGGCAUGCUGGUUGCACUGAGGAAUCUAGUUUGGUGAAUCUUUUUUAAUUCUAGUACAUUUUCUUGUAACCAGUUCAUGAAAGAUGCUUUCAACAAAAUCCAUCUAAAUUAGAAACUGUUGGGGACUUGUUCUCAAAUGCUAUGAGUUAAGAACAAGGCAACAUAGAAAAUGUUAAUCGGUAAAGUCCUUCGUCCUUUGAAGCAUUAUUCCCCUUAGGAUAUAAUGAUUUUCGGACGAAGGUUAUGAAGGGCGUACCUUCAUAAAUACACUAUAUAAUGACGAAGAAUGAAUUAUAAGGAAUAUGAAGGAUAACAUAAACAAUUGCAUAUUAUCAUUAAUUUAUCUUUGCAUUAUUAUUAUGUAGAAACAGAAAUAACAUCGAAUUACAAAUAUACCUUCAGCUUGAAGGAGAUGAAAGUACAAGCGCGACGCAAAAGCGAAUGCCAAAUCAGCGUGAACAGUACGGGGGUACUGUUCACCUAUUUAUAGGCACAGGACACAGCCCAUACAAGAUUACAUUUAUGCCCUUUACAUUUGAUAAUAAUUCUAUAGUAAUCUAUCGAGGUCUGAAUAGCCUUUUCAUCUUUAAGUCGGUUUCAUUUUUUGCUACCACGUCGAAGCUUUCCUGCUCACACCUUCGGCGCUGUAUCAACCUUCGUAUUAUUUUGGUCUGCUGUGAUGCCAACUUGAGUCCAAAAAUACCUGUCCACACAUUAUACUCCAGAAAAUACUGUUAAAUACCGUUUUUGAGGACCUUCGUAAGCCGAAGGCCCCCAACAGUAGCCCCUCGCAAUAUUAAUUUGUUUAAAAUAAUAAAUUUAGAUUGCGACAUGGACGAAGGCUUUACGCCGAAGGUCCGAAAAAACACCUUCCCUUUGCUAGAAUAGCAACGCUCACUGACAAGCGGGGUCUUUCAAUUUUCAACGCACCGGGCGUAUAAAUACGGUCAUACCGCAAACUCAUUUGGUACGCUCUCUUGCCAACUGCUCCCGCUCACUCAAUUUUUAGCUCUUGUGCACUAAGAUUUGCCGAGCUUUUAGUUUUGAAGCUUCGGCUUUGAAAACAGUUUUUUAGUGUUUCCGAAGAUGUCUGAAGAUAAGAAGGCUGCUGCUGAGAUGAAGCUGAGUCUCGACGAAGAGAAGAACUUGGGGUUUCUUAUAGCGAUGUCGAAGACCAAUACAGAAAAAAUCACCAAGGAGAUUCUGGAAGGUUUGUCUGAAGAUACUGGUGACAGCGACAGUUAUGAUGUGGACAGUGGUGGUGAAGACUCCGAAGAUCGCCCUUGGCGACCAAGCCACGCGGUUUUCGGCAAAUCAACUAUCAAAGAAAAUCAUCUUGUCAACAUGAGAGGAAGAUAUUUCCGGGAUUUGUCCAUCGUGAGGGCCGACAAAGGGGAAAAAACUUGUCCACACCCUGAAGAGAAUGAAGUCGUAGUGUACCGAAGCUUUUUGAAAGCUGGACUACGAUUUCCCCUGAGCGAGUUUGUCGUAGAGGUGCUGAAAAUAUUCGAAGUCUAUCUUCACCAACUUACCCCCGAGGCAAUCAUAAGGCUGAAUAUCUUCGUGUGGGCCGUGAGGAGCCAAGGUCUGAAGUCUGAUGCAAAAAGUUUCUGCAAUAUACACGAAUUAUCAUACGAAACAAAACCUUGGGGUAAGGAACAGUAUCACAAUAAUUUUGGCUGCUACAGUUUCGUUUCUCGGUCCGGGUCAAGCUGUCCCGUGCCAACCUUUCGGAAGAGAUGGCCCGGCGACUGGAUGACAGAAUGGUUUUAUGUGAAGAAUGACCUGACAGUACGAGAAGAUAUCAAAGGUAUAAUUAUGCGCCCUAUUUGGCAAAGCUUCGGCCUUCGGAGGCCGAAGGUUGAAAUGAAUGAAGCUGCCGAAGAAUGCCAGAGAGCCUUCGGCGUAUUCUGUUCUUUUAUUGGAACGAGAGAUUUGGUACAAGAGCAUAUUGCCUUCAGGGUAUGGCCGCUCGCGGAGAAAUGGGAAAUGUCGCAAGAAACCAUAAAGGAGGCCGACGAAGGUGGGCUUAUCAGGCUGAAGUAUACUUUUAAGUUCGAAGAUAAAUUCGUUGAGCCAGAUGAUGAUUGGUUAAAAAGCAUUGAAAAUUUAAGUGAUGAACUGCUUGGGGCUUAUUCGAAGGCCGAAGAUACUGCACUGUCAGCAGCCUUCGGAGGCCAAAAAAAGAAGAGGCUGAAUCGGGUGUUUGAUGCAAUCGGGUUCGUCUACCCUGACUAUCGUUAUCCCAUUCGAGGGCAGAAAAGAAAAAACACAACCUCUGCGAAAGAAGAAGCUGCUACUGCUCCUAGUGAGCCAGAACCGAAAAGAAAGAAGAUAAAGGUCCUUACACAUCGGCCGCGCUAUAUUGAACCAGCUUCGGUGCCUGAGUUUACCGGAGAAACUCCUUCGGCCACCGAAGCUGAAAAGCCAACCAAACCAACCUUACUGCCAGAAGUCGCAGAAAUGGCCGAAGCGCCAACAAGGACAGAAUUGGAAGAGCCGAAGAUUUUGUUACCAGAAACAAAAGAGAUGGCCGAAGCGCCGUCCAUAGAAAAAAUAGAAGAAGUGAAAAAACCAACUGAGGAAAAAACAUCAGAAUUUUUGAGUCCUGCAGCAAAUGUUGAGACAGUAAAAAAUCGAAAGGUGCCAGCAGUGACUCCGAAAAGAAAGAGAAUGGCUAAUGUGCUAGAUGUUCUGGAAACAAUUAAAUCUUCAAGCACACCUCCGAAGGAAACUGUUGCCAUUCCCAAAGCGAAAACUAAAAUUUCUGAUAUUAAAGUUCCAGAGCAAGAAACUGAAGCCGAAGCUGGGUCCUCAGAGCCCACGAAGAUAAAAUCGUUGGAAACCGAGGAAGAAAAAAUAACAGAGCCAACUUUUGUUGAAGAAAUCAGUGUCAUUGCCCCUGAAGCAUCCCCCAAAGUCCUUGAUUAUAUUGUUCGUCAUGCUUCGGGGAAAAAAUUAUCAGAAAAAGAAAAGCAAGAGGCCCAGCGCUACGCCCAAAAACUGAAGUAUCCAAAGGGGGCGUUAAUAUUCAAUGGUAGUGGAGAAGAAGACUUUUUGUAUUGUCUCCCUGACAGCAAGGAGAUUUCUGUCUGUCGGGAGAUGAGCAAGAGCUUCGGAUUCCCAACACUAGAAGACGGGCUCUCGGUGCUGUCGAAGAACGAUCUGGCCGACAGCCUGGCGUACAAUAGCUUAAAGGUGCAACAAAUGGGAUCUUUGUAUUUUUUUGUUGAGACCAAAAUUUUUCGUUUGCUUAAAUCUAAUGACGUACACAUAUUCUUCUUUGCAGGGCCUGAUACUUAGCAAUGCUCUCAGGGCCCAAAAAGAUGCUGAAGACGAAGGGUGUGCUAUAGCCCUGAGCAACCUUCGUUCCGAAGUUAUUGAACUGAGGAACGAAGGUCUCGAAAAAGAUAAAAUAUUACAUUCAUUAAUAAAUAGAAUAAAGGAAGACGAAGCUACUUUUAAAGGUCAAGCUGAAGCUCAGAAGCGCGAAAUUGAAGAUCUUCGAAGACAACUGACCAGAGCCAAAGAGGAACGCAUGCUUGAAGAAACGAAACGAGAACUCAGCGACCAAUGGGCAAAUCAUUUAGAGGGAACUGUUGAAGAGCUUCAUUCAUCCAAGAAAAGAUGUUAUAACAAAUCUAUAGAGUGUGUCAAGAAGUUGAAAGCUAGCUUCGCCAGUGUCGGUGCCUUUUCGAGCGAAGAAAACUUUACAAGAGGCAAGCCCGAAGGUCCUAUCGAAUGGAUCGAUCACGAAGCUGAUGCUUUCGAGGAAAUUUUAAACAGCCGCGGAGACAUAUGUGCUUUCUCGGAUGCCAGGGGAAUUGGCACUAUUUUAGAGAAAAAGGGCUGCGAGCAUAUAAAGAUUUUAGCACAAUCCGAAGCUGGCUUGUCCUUCGAAGAUGCAAGAGAUCCUUCGACCGAAGCUAGCAUGGUAGGUGGAAAAUUUUUCACCGACGUCUGGGAUAAUGGUGGCCGAGAAAUGGCCCGAGAAAUUAUUCAAAAAAGCGAAAAGGGUAUUCACGAUGCUAGAGAAGUGGCUGAAGCUGCUGAAAAAAGCGCAGAGCCCGAAGGGCAAAUAGGUAUCAACUAAUGGUUUUUAUUGUGUUGUAAUUGUCGAUUUUAAACUUCGUUCGCAAUUUGUAAUAGCAAUGUAGCCGUAUCCUGUCCUCCUUCAGAUCCUACUAAAGCAUCUUCGGGACCUCCCCAGAAAGGAGACGACGAAAUUAAAAAGAUGGCUGGAGCUAUCAUGGAUGAAGUUGUUAAUCGGCUCCUGAACGAGGCUGCAGAAGUCGUUUUGAGAGAAGAUUAAGUAUUAUUGUAAAAACUUCUGAAAUGUAAUAUAUUGUAACAUUUUGUAACCCUGAAUGUAAUAUACCUGUUUCUAUUGUUCAAUUCUUUACGAUGCAUGAAAUUUUACACGUACCAUUUUUGAGUCUUUGACGAAAAAACACCUUCCCUUCUUUUCAUGCUUCGUGAAGAAGAAUUUUUCUUUGUCACAACAAUAUUCAUAGUGUUCUGAUGAAUAAUAUCCAGGCUUCGUGAAGAUAUUUUCCGAAGCUAUACUUCCGAAGAUCAAUAAUGUAUCUCCUUGUGACAUCAUGAUUUUUCCCUUUUUUCAAAACGUUCUUCUGCAGAUCGAUAUUGUGUCCGCCUCUUGUGCCAUAUGCAACAUGAUGUAUGAUGCUUAUGCUAUGCGAAAUGAUACGAUGAUGUUAUAUUAUGUGAAGCGGUGUUUAUUCCGAAGAUACACACACAUCCCUGCAAUAAAACACAUAAUCUUUUAUAAACCUCCCUUAGGAGCUUCUUCGCCUUUUACUUCAGCGGAAUCAGCGUUUAUUUUUCGUUGUAAGCCUCCCUUAGGAGCUUCUUCGCCUUUUACUUUCAGCGGUAUUCGCGUUGACUUUUCACGCUUCGCCUUUUACUUAGGCGGUAUCAGCGUUGACUUUUCGCUGUAAGCUCUGCAUUCCCUUUGGAACGACUUUGGAGCAGAAAACUUACACUGCACUCCCUCUGGAGCGACUUUUUGUGACUUCGGCAAACUUACUCUGCGUUCCUUAGAACGACUUUUUGUUGCUUCGACGAAUUUUCAAUAAUUUGAAGGUCCUCUUUGUUAUCACAAAUCUUUAAACUUCAACAACUUAAGCUUGUGAAGAAAAUAUAUUUUCCUUGUGGGAAUCAACGAAACUAUUUACAUGAAACCUAAACAAUGUCCUUUAUUACACAGAAAAUAAAACUGAAUGAAAAAGAUUGCUAUUGAGGUAGGAUAUUUGUCAAUAGAUGUGCUUUGACUCUGGCACAGUGCUGUUGACUGUGCGAGCUUCGGAUUGUUCUCUGAAGUCCCUUUGGUGUGGAAUAUAUUGGCUCCCUUCUGGCUGCUGACCUUGUUGCAGCGGUGGUGGAGGCGGAGGCUGUUGCCAGGAAGCUUGAGGUUGACUCGCCAAAGCAACAGAAACUGCAGGGUGAUUGCCUACAUACUCUGGGAUGUAAGGCGAAUGAUACGAAACAGUGUGCAUGACCUGCUUCGGCUGAGCCUGUUGUGCUGCCGCUUCGGCUAUUUCCUUUUGCUUCUGGAUGGUAACAUGGCACAUCCUGGUGGUAUGACCUUUGUUCUCACCACAGAAUAAGCAAAAGAUUCUUCUCGGUUGAUCGCCAAAUCUUCCGCCGAAGCCCCUGGCGCCUCUGCCUCUCGGAGCUGGUGGUCUGAAAGAGCCUUGUUGUUGCCCCGAAGCCUGUGAGGAACACUGUGGCCUUUGCUGUUGGCUCCCUCUAUCAUCAUUUUGGGUAGAGUUAUGAAUUGAUCUAACGUGCCUCGGAUAGAACCUCCCUCCGAAGCCCCUGGUCAUUUCAGAAAACCUGAAAGCCUCCUCCCUUCUUUGGCGAAAAUCAUUAUCGGCCCGAAUGUACUCGUCCAUCUUCUGGAGCAGCUUCUCCAAAGUUUGAGGAGGCUUCCUAGCGAAGUACUGAGCUGACGGUCCUGGCCGAAGCCCCUUGAUCAUGGCCUCAAUGACAAUUUCGUUGGGCACUGUUGGUGCCUGUGCCCUCAACCGCAAGAACCUCCGGACAUACGCCUGAAGGUACUCUUCGUGAUCCUGGGUACACUGGAAUAGAGCUUGAGCCGUGACCGGCUUCGUCUGGAACCCUUGGAAGCUGGUUAACAACAAGUCCUUCAGCUUUUGCCACGAAGUGACGGUUCCUGGUCGAAGGGAGGAGUACCAGGUUUGAGCAACACUCCUGACAGCCAUAACAAAAGAUUUGGCCAUGACCGCAGCAUUGCCACCAUACGAAGAUACUGUUGCUUCGUAGCUCAUCAAAAACUGCUUCGGGUCUGAGUGGCCAUCAAAUAUGGGAAGCUGAGGCGGCUUGUAGGACGGAGGCCAAGGUGUAGCCUGCAGCUCAGCGGACAGAGGAGAAGCAUCAUCAAAAACAAAAUUCCCAUGAUGGAAAUUGUCAUACCAGUCAUCUUCAUUGAGGAAACCCUCCUGACGAAGGUCUUGGUGCUGAGGCCUUCGGUGUUGUUCAUCCUGAGUAAGAUGACGAACUUCCUCAGAGGCUUCAUCUAUCUGCCUUUGUAGUUCAGCUAGCCUGGCCAUCUUUUCUUUCUUCCUCUGCACCUGUUGGUGAAGCAUCUCCAUGUCUCUGAUUUCUUGGUCUAUCUCAUCCUCUGGUGGCGUCGGGCUAACAGCCUUCCUUUUCUGGCUUCGGGCCUCCCGAAGGGAGACAGUCUCCUGAUUGUGGUCCAGCGGUUGAAGAGCUGCAGUGCCAGUUGCUGAAGCUUUCUUCGGCGCCAUAGCGAAGGUUUAUGAUUGCCGAAGGUGCUCAGAAAACUCAAAGAGUGGAAGUGAGUUCACCGGAGGUGGGCGCCAAUGUUGGGGACUUGUUCUCAAAUGCUAUAAGUUAAGAACAAGGCAACAUAGAAAAUGUUAAUCGAUAAAGUCCUUCGUCCUUCGAAGCAUUAUUCCCCUUAGGAUAUAAUGAUUUUCGGACGAAGGUUAUGAAGGGCGUACCUUCAUAAAUACACUAUAUAAUGACGAAGAAUGAAUUAUAAGGAAUAUGAAGGAUAACAUAAACAAUUGCAUAUUAUCAUUAAUUUAUCUUUGCAUUAUUAUUAUGUAGAAACAGAAAUAACAUCGAAUUACAAAUAUACCUUCAACUUGAAGGAGAUGAAAGUACAAGCGCGACGCAAAAGCGAAUGUCAAAUCAGCGUGAACAGUACAGGGGUACUGUUCACCUAUUUAUAGGCACAGGACACAGUCCAUACAAGAUUACAUUUAUGCCCUUUACAUUUGAUAAUAAUUCUAUAGUAAUCUAUCGAGGUCUGAAUAGCCUUUUCAUCUUUAAGUCGGUUUCAUUUUUUGCUACCACGUCGAAGCUUUCCUGCUCACACCUUCGGCGCUGUAUCAACCUUCGUAUUAUUUUGGUCUGCUGUGAUGCCGACUUGAGUCCAAAAAUACCUGUCCACACAUUAUACUCCAGAAAAUACUGUUAAAUACCGUUUUUGAGGACCUUCGUAAGCCGAAGGCCCCCAACAGAAACAGAUUGGUGGUGAGGUAGUUAUGGGCUUAAGGCCGUACACACAACACAAUGGUGCACUCAAUCUAACACAGUGGUUAAAACUCAAUAGCUAUUCAGACAAGAUAAAAUGGUUUAUGAGCCUUCAAUCUAAUAAUAAAGACAUGUCCCAAUACCCGUGCAGAACAUAUACAUCAACCACCCUUCAACUAAAAGUACCUAGUGAAGAAACAGUGCAAAUCGCAUUAACACCUUGACAACAAUUCUGCGUAUAAGCUAGUCAUAUUAAUCAGAGCUAGGCAGUACAGAGCAUAGCAGCAGCAGCGAAGAGAUCCAGCCAUGUACACUACCAAAAAAACAUAUCCGAGAUCAGUUUUUAGGAUCAAGAGUAUAGAUACGAGACCUUACUAUGAAUAGACAAGCUUUUAUUUGCUACUUGUGGACUAAGUUGCUCCUCUUGCGGAAGUCUUGAAGGACGAAGGCAAAGUAUUGGAUAGAGGUUGUGUUGUAUCACUUGGAUUGCUCAUCACAAAUUCACACAGCACCAGCUUGGUUUGCACAUUUGCUUCCAUCAUUUCAUCGCCAUUGUCGUAUAUGUUGUAUCUGUAAAAGAAAAAAGAAAUGUGGUUUGGGUAUCAAAAGCAUUACAAAAAUGAAUCUUAGCCUCCUUUGCAAGUGAUGGUGGAAAUUAGAAGCUGAGGAUGAUUUAUGGCAAGAUAUUAUCAAAUCCAAGUAUCUUAAGGGUGAACUUAUAUGUACUGUGAGUAAGAAUUGUUUAUCUUCAAAGGAGAUGUGUUACCAUCUAAAAUAGACAAAAAAUAACAAUAACCCCUUAUGUUGCCUAUAUCUUGGUCUCUUUAAAUUAUAUGACCAAAAAAUAUAAUUGUUUGCCAAGUGAUAUCAUUAGAUAAACAUGCAUCUACAUGAAUAUAUUUGUUGAAGUGGAUUGAUAUACAAUUUAGUUUAUUUUCACUUUAAUCUACUUCAACACACAUGAAAAAUAUAAGUCUGACAUAGACUUCAACAAAGUGAACAAAAAGAAUGGAGUAUACAGUACUGCUACCACCAAAAUGGACUCCGAUCAUGAGGAUUUCCACAUGGCAAAUUAAAGGUUGUGCACACUCAUGCAAAUUAAAGCGCUAACCAUCAGAAUUAUAGUGUUGUUUCGUUAUAUUUAAGUCAUUCUAUGCAGGUAGGAAAUGCUCUCACUGAUGAUUUCCAUGACCACUAUGGAAUAUUUCAAUUCAUGUGGACUACUGGCCUGAUCUCUGAUCAAACAUACAAGCUGCUGAAUGUUUUCUGUGACUACGAGUCCUUCGUGCAUUCGUCUUCACAGUGUGAUAAGAUUAUGGAUAUUGCUAGCACUGAAGCUGGAAACAUUGAUUCAUAUAGCAUCUUCACAUCUUUUGCCUCCUCAAAGAACAAAGUGAUGAAAAGGCUACAUGUAAGUUUUGAAUCCAAAACUCAAGCGAUAGUACGUAGUUUUUGGAGUACAUGAGUAGCAAUGAAAAUCAAACAGAGUUAUCAUGUUCUAAAUGCUCGUGUUCAAAUUCAUCAUACACAUGUGGACAUUUGAUUUUGUAAAUUUGUAUAAUAAAAAGUAAUGGUUAAUAUAAUAGAUUGUGUGAAUUCUCUAUUGUUGAUCCUAAUGCCACACCAACAUGCAUACACCAAUAGAGGCACACAAAUUAAUAUAAGGUGAAAGUAGCAGAACCUAUUAGGCUACCACCUACCCUAUUUGUUAUAAUAGUAAAGACUGAAGAUAUAUCACUACAUUUUGACUCUGCUGCAUAUAUAUGUGUAAGUUACAUGACUGUUGCUUUCUCCCAAAAAUGAAAAGGAAUAUUGCAGUUUUAGAUUCACUAUUAGUCUUUUUUUGUACUUAAAAAUUCUCAAAUGAGUUCCAUUUAGGUGAAGGCACCAUGAGGCUACUGGUGACAAAUUCUGCAAAAACACCGGCACGGCAACGCAGGGCAUGCGGAUCCAGCAACAAAGGAUGCACCUUUUGGGUUUUGUGACAUUCAAUGAUACAAACACUUGAUCCUGGUAUCGAGAAAAAACAUACAGAGAAACAAACGUGGAUGCAAGAAAUUUUAGAGGCUCGUUAGUCCGCUUACCGGGGGCAAACACGGGGUACUCCUUGGUCGUCGUGGCCAGGAGGCCCGGCCUGGCGAGCGCUGACGUCGACAACACGGUCGACGGUAGGCAAAUGACGACGGGGGCUCCUGCUAGCGCUGGCGUAGGCCCCGACAUUGUAUGCGGUGGCACUGCCGCUCUGGAGGAGCGAGCCAUGGAGUGCGCGCAGCUCGGUGUCCUUGGCGAUGGCGGCUUGGAUGUCCAGACGCGAGGAUAGGAGGUAGGCGGGCGAGAGGUAGACGAUGGUGUCUCCGGGGGCUUGAAGCUUAGGGCUCAGGGCAUGGGGGUGGGGGGCAUUCGAAGAUGGAUUCAUCGACGAAGGGAAGGAGCGGGCAAGGACCCCGUCCCCGUACUCGGUGCCGCCAAGAUUGUGACCCCGCCCCCGUACUCGGCGCCGCCAAGACUGUGACCCUACCCCCCUCGACUUCGAGGUCGGCUCGGAGAAGAACGCGUGGGUGGUCGAGGUCGUCUGCAGUGGUGGCCUUGAUGCUCCCAGAUCCCAUCGUGUGCGGAGCAGGGUUGGGGAUGGAUGGGGGACGGGGAGGUAGAGGUCGUAGCGGGUGUGCGAGGGAGGGGGUGGAGGGAGCAAAGGCGGUGGUCACGGCUCCAAUUCCGCGCGGGCGAGCGGACAGGGGAUUCUGCGGCGAGCUUGUUGGCGGGGUUGGUGGGGGCGCGUUCGCAGAUCCCGCCAUCUACCGUCGAGGUCGAUGAAGAGCGCGAGUACCGCGCCGAUGAGAGCGAAUUGGUGAAGAGGUUCACAAAGGGGAAAUCCUUCAAGGCCCUACCUGAGGCGACGACGUAGUCGGUGAGGGCGGUGUGCGCGUCGGAGGACCCGCCUGAGCACAACUGGGAGGAAAAUGCCGACGACGCUAUGGCCUGCGGGGACCCCAUCUUGAGUCGCACGGCCGUCGUGCUGUCGUCGCCAUCGACAUGGGUGUGGGCCUAGAGGUGGGAGGAGGUGAAGAGGUCGAUGAGUGCGAGUAGCGCGCUGAAGAGGGUGAAGAUGGAUGGGUGUGGGCGAGGUCGACGGCGAGAUGGAUGAGCGUGAGUAGCGGAUGGGGGCGUGGGGAUGGGAUGGGAGCGCGGGGUCGGCGCGGGAUGCAGUGAAGGAAGUCGGCGCGGUUGAGGGCGGGAUGCAGGGAAGACGGCGCGGGCGGGCGCGGGAUUGCAGGGAAGGAAAACGGCGCGAGCGAGGGCGGGAUUGCAGGAAGGAAGACAGCGCGGGCGGGGGCUGGAGCGGGGGCACGCUGACGUUGGUGGACGCCCUCGCUCCAGCCUUAAGGUGUAGUAGAGAUUAACUAAUCAAGUGUUGCAUACACUUCUCAGGAGCAUUUGAAGAUGCAGAAAUUAUGCAUGUUGAUGAUACAGUAGAUCCAGUUAGAGACAUGGAAACUGUUAGUGAAGAGCUCAGACUAAAGGUUUCAUAGGAUUUUGUUGAUUUGCAACAUCAGCUGACCGUUCAAUCUUCUUUCGACUAUGUUCUAUUCUACUUUCUAUGCAGGAUUUAGAGUUUAUGGAAAAGAAACUUGAGGACCUUGAUAAGUCAAUGAAGAGGAGCAAUGAUAAGCAGCUCAAAAUUGAGCAUGAAUUAUGUGAGAGGGUGGGGCAUCAAUUACUUAAAUUAUUCUGCUUAACUUUGGGUCUUUUAGCAGCCUUAAUAAAAUAUAUAAUUGAAAAUGAAAAUUCUUUAUCAGUAACUUAUGUUCCUUACCUUCCCUGGACAGGUCAUAGCCCAUCUAGAGGAAAGGAAAGAUGUCCGUUUAGGAGAUUGGAAAGCUGCUGAGGUUGAGAUCUUGAAUACAUUCCAGCUACUUUCAGCUAAGCCAGUUGUCUAUUUGGUAUGGAUUUCUUACUGACCACCCAUCGUAUAUUAGUCAAUAGUCUACCUUGAGAAAAUUCGAAGUUCAAGUUGUCCAUGGUUUUUAGCUUGGACUGGCGGUGUCGUAUUGUGUUUAAGAAAAAUAUACUUUUUUAUGCAUAUGCCUUUCUAGUUGAACAUGUUUUACAUGUUUUGUUAUGGUCUAUCAUUUUUCUGCAUGCACUCUGUUCUGUUUCCUGGUAUCUAUUAUGUUUCUGCUGCCAGUUGUAUUGGAGCUGUUAAUCAAUGCCAUUAUUAGUUUCGUAGUUUGCCAUAAUAAUUAUCCUUGUAUGAUGUAUUAUCAAUUAUGCAAUAGAUAGAUUUAUUUUUUACAUGCGUGGUAAGUAGUAACAAAAGAAGAUGCAUUUUUUUUCAUUUGCGGAACCAACCACAGUUUAAAUUAACCAUUUGUCUCUUUUUAAUAAUUAAUUGUAACAGAUAUAUAGACCAAUAAACUGAUUUGAAUCUUGUAGGCAUUUAUGCAUACUAUAAAUUAUGUAUAUGGCUGUGGCCGUAGAGGAACACUACAGAAAUAAUGUGUAGUUGCAGGCAUGUCUUCUGGAAAACAUGUAUCAUCUGGUAGUAAUUAAAAAAACACAAUAUUGGCUUUCAAAACAUGAAAUAAAAAAAAACGAUGGAGUUCUACUUGAUUCCUGUUGUCGAAAUUUUUUGUAUUACCUUGACAUUCUGAAAUUUCUGUUGGCGUUGUUUGCUCUGGCUCGAUUAUUGAUGUUUGGACAGUAUAGUGUUCAUGAUUGUUACGUCUACUUUUGUGGUCAGGUAAUGAAGUUUGAAGAUCUGAAAGAACUGGGCAUGCAGUGUAUUCUUGUUAAGUGCCUGCUGGAAAAUACAACCAGGGGGGGGGGGGGGAAGCUAUAGCUAUGUGGUUCAAGAUUGCGUUUACAACUUACCCCCGAAUGUAUCAGAUGAUUUGUUUGUUGUUUGAGGGACCAAAUAUAUUUUAUCAAGUAAUAGUUGUGGAAAAGUGGGAGAGUCACUCAGUGCCAAGCGGCCUGCGGGGGUACACGUACACGUGAGGCUAUUUCUAGCAGAUCUUUUAUCACAUCCUCUAUUUCAAACUUCUUUCUGUAAACCGUGUCUUCUAUAGUUCCACGUUCUCUAUUUCACGUAAUGGAGACAGUCUAAAGACUUAAAAAGGUUUUGGAAAUUUUCAAGUUUCAGCUCUUGCGCUCAAUCUGAUCUUCCUCUGACUUGCUUCCUGCACAGCCGCCUACCACUGCAACUGUGCUAGCUAGUUGGUUAUCACUGAGACGAGCACGAAGACAAGCAGUCGCAAGCCGUGCACUAGAAGCAGUACCAUCAGUUGCGGGUUUCGUCGUUCGUUUCGGAAGCUUAAGGGCUUGUUUGUAAACAAAAGUAACGGAGUAGAUUGAGGGCUCGUUCGUUUCUCUGGUAUUGGACCAGGAUUCAUUCCAACCUAUCAAAACUUAUAUAAAUUAGAGAAACAAUCCGGUCAAGAACUAUUUCAGGUCUUCAAUCCGUGAAAAACGAACAGGCCCUGAGCAGGCUAGAAUAUUAUUUUACUAUUUAAAUUCCCUUCGUUACAUUUGCUCCUAAACAAGACCUAAGGAGGAGCUGAUCAUCAUUUGGUUGAAUUUGUAACCGGAGGAGUAUGUAUGCACGUGCGUACGUAUGUAUGUAUGUCACAUAUUUUAUAUUUCACUUAAUUAGCUUCACCAUCUUUUACGAAUUUUUUUUGAAUUAACCUCGCUACGCAGAUAGAACGAAUUAUUAGGGAGGGAUGGGGUAUAUAUAUAUAGCAUCAAAAUUAUGUAAUGAAGAGUAGCACUGAUUAUUGUUACAUGACGAAGGUUGAGCAUCCAUGGAGGCUAGAUUAUAGACAGACACCCUGAUUUUACAUGACGAAUCGCAAGAAGCGCAUGCAUUGGAUAUCCUUAGCCGGAGAGGGCGCUGGUGUUGUAGACGAGGAGGGCGCCGCCGCCGAGGAUCCCAGCGAGGGUGACGGCCCAGAUCAGAAGCCCAGUGGUUCCUGCAAAGGGCCAAAAAAAAAUCAAGCUACUACCUGCUGUUCAUACAUAUACUACAUGCAUGCUUGUAUGUUGUAUUAAUUUGUGUACUGUGGACAUGCAAGUGAGAGUGCAAUUACUUACCACCGACGUAGACGUCGCCGGUGGGAGACCAGUCAUCCUCGUUGUAGAUUGGGCUGCAGAUUCAUUGCCAAAUUAAUUAAAAACACAGUACAGUCGAACAACUACGACUGAUCAAAAUAAUGCAUGGUCGUCAACAAUUGCAUGGGUCAUCACACACAAAUUUCACUUUUUUUUGGGGGGCGCUGAUGGGCAAGCAAUAAGCUCAUCACCUGUAUCCGUCGACGUUCGCGCCGUACUUGUCGACGAACUGGUACACGCCCUUGCCCUGCAUAAUCGCAUCCCCACCACGUAAUUUCAGCUCCAUCGAUCGAUCUAUCACGUACGCAGCAUGCAUGCGUGGAUAACUAAAAAACUAUAUAGCUGCUAGCUAGCUAGAAACAACAAGUGCUCACCUUGCCCUUUCUCCCGUUGGCGUCGACGUCGACGGUCAGGCCACCCCCAAUCCCUGCGGACAUGCAUGCACGAACGAUCACGACGACGACUCAGCUCAGAAGUCAGAACCACACCCGGCCACCGGGGCCGGACGAAAAGCAGCUAGCUAAGCUGACAGUGAUCUACACACAGGCCGCGGCAGCAGGCUAGGUGGCACGCACCGUAGGGCUUGUCGGUCUUGAUCUUCUUCUUGGAGCAGACGACGGCGAAGGAGGAGGCGCGGCGGCCGAGGGGCGGCAGGCCCUGAGGCGCCACCGCCAGAGCUGACGAGGAGAUCAUGGAGGCCGCCAUCGCCGCCGCUGCUGCUGCUCCUAGCUAGC